GAACUAAAAGACCAAAUUAAUAAUGUAUAAAAACGUAUAUUUUAUCAGAAAAUAUACGUUAUCGUUUAAGCCUAACGUCUACACAAACAAAAAAAUAAUAUGAGUUCCGAUUAUAUUAUAAUAUUUUAUAUGUCUUGCGUUAAAUUUCAAGGGCAAACGAGAUAACGCGGGGUUGGUGAUACGCGCUCAAAUACAAUUACGAUACGCGCCUUAUUAAAUUUACAAAACACGUUUUUUGGACGACGACCGUUCAGGGCAAACAAACCGUAACCACCGAAAUACUUAUCAGGUAUAUUUUAAUUAAAAAUAAACAAAGGAUGGAUUUUCGAUUAAAGCUUAAUAACAAUAUUCGUAAGAUUAUAACUAUUAUUGUUAUUUUUCAUUUUUUUUUUUUAUGCUUUAAUCCCUUUUGUAAUCCAAGACCGAGCACGAAAUGCUUAUAUAGCAGAUAGGUAGGUAUAUAUAUAUAAACACGGAAAUUGAUAAUCGGAAAAAUAAAUUAAUCCUAUUUGGAUCCGAAAGAAAUGCCUCAGAAAAUGUUUUAUCGCCGUCACAGGAAUUAAACAAACACAAUUUAAUUUAUAAUAUUAUUAACAUUAUUCGUUUUAAACGUUUUCAUUUUGCAUUAUUACAUUAUAAUGUUGUCUAGUGUAAUAUAAUUUAAUACCUACGUAAUAUAUUCGAACAAACAAUAUUAUUAUAAUACUUUAGAUAGGAAUUUAAAUUCGUUUACGAUCUAAAAUCAUUUGUCCAUAAUGACCGCCUACGAUUUGUUCGAAUAUUUGUUAGUUUAACCUUACCGGCGGCCGGUACUUGUAAAUUCUCCUCGUAUGUUUUUUUUUUUAUUAAAAUCUAAUCGAGCAACGUAUAAAAUUACCAAAUAAUUAUAUUAUUUUACAUUUUAUUAUAAUCGCCCAUAAUAAUAUUUGACUGCCUGCGUGUUACACAUAAUAUUAUCAUACACACUGUGACGGUUAUAUUUUAUUAAUAAUAAUAUGUACAUAUCAUAAAAUUAUUAAUUUAAGGUAUAAUGAAAUAAUUAAGGUAGCUACUAGUUUCGGUCUAAGCCAAUUUCAUGUUACAUAAAUAUAGAAUAAAAAACUUUCUAAAUAAAAAAUGCCAAAAAAAAAAAGGUAGAAGUUACCUGAAUGGUUUUAUUAUUUAUUUUUUGGCUUUGAAUUAAUAAUAAUUCCAUACUAUAAUUAUCAAAUGGAUAUACAACGUACUAUUAUUACACAUAUAGUAUAGCCCACCCAGGUAUGUGUUGCCUGUAUUACUGUACCUGUAUUAUGUUACUCGCGAAUAUUUCAAUUUUCCACAGGAAUAUCGAAAAAAAAAAAAACGACUAUAAACGAAAGUACAAUUAUUUGAAUGAUACAUACCUGUAUUAUUGCCUUCAACGAUACGAGCGCCUAUUGCCUUUUGGCAAACGUAAUUUCGAAAAGAAAAAAUACCAUUCCUAUACUGGCCGGUUACAAAAUGAAAAAAAAAAAAUGUUUUGGAAAUUCGGAAACUUAAUAAAGCGCACUGUGAAACGGCCGUUCGUAAAGGUUAGGUUAACUACGGCUUGUAACUGAGAAUAAUCAAUUUACAAACCGAGUAUAUUAUAGUGAGUAAAUUAUGUUCAAUUAUUAAGUCUCGUAGGUCAAUCCGAUAACAUUUUACACUACAAUAAACACAUGUUUCGAUAUUUACUUUUUAUGGUAUAUCCCAUUAAAUUCAUUAUUGAUGAUUACAGUAGAUAAUAAUGUAUAAAUAAGAACGUAUAACAAUGUGUUUGUAUAUACCUAUUACCUAUACAUAAUGUAAACAAUGAAUCGAUAAAUUUUAGUUUUAUACAUAUACAUAUUUUGAUAAUACCGAUUGGUAUAAUUCCAAAGAUUUCUAAUUUACUACGAUUUGAUUAUAACAUAACUGUAGAGAAACUUUUAAAAAUAAUAACAUGUAAUCGCAAUAAGAUAAGUAAUAGCUAUUAUAUUAUAUAAAUUUUAUACUCAAUAUUAGUAUAGUUGUGUAUUUAAAAAAAUAGUAAAAUUAAAAUAAAAACGUCACGGGUAGUAUAGUUCGAUAAAUGGGUAGUGUUGCCAUGUAGCAGUGGCGGGGAAAAUCGGGAAGAUAUAAUAUCUCCCUUUGAUCGUUAUUUAUUAUGUAUUAUUUAUAUGACUAUCCAAUUUUUUUUUUAAAUUUAAAUAUGUUUACUUUUUGAUGAGAAAAAUCAAAAAUCUAUUGUACAAUCUAUAGUGAAUACAUCAUAAAGACAUCGACGUACCUAUGUACUUUUUGUUUAAAACGCAACCUAUCCAAUACACUAAAUAAACUAAUAAUAAUAUUUCUAAUACCAGUAAUACCUGUAUAGUCAAAUUAUUUUAUUUCUAUAACAAUUUAAGGCUAGGUUGUGUAAUAAAUUUGACACUCACAAAAGUAUAUAAAUUAAAAAUUUACAUUUUCUUCGACCUAUAGUACGUACAAAUUGUACAAUAUGACACGAUUUCCAGAUUCUCCCUCCUUGGCAAAAUCCUAAUUACGCCACUGUAGGUAGAUUUCAUAAAGUUAGCAAUAAAAUUAUCGAAACUAUAGUGAUUAACUAAAAUUUAAAAAUGGAAUUUCAUUUUGACUGAUUACAAAAACGAUUUUCAAUACCUAGACGACCAUAAUAUUAUGGUCUCCCUUUAAUCAUCGUUGGGUUUAAUGAAUGAAUUAAAAAAGCAUGUAUAAGUAAUGCAAUACAGGUUUAUCACUCCUGUCGUACAUAAAAAUAUAUUUAUAUAUUGUUUUUAGCUGAGAAUGUGACGCGAUAGAAGCAGUUGUAAUUGUAUAUUAUAUCCCAACAAAAACCCUCCGUCAACUACGCGUAAAAACCUCGCUCAGAAAAAAAAAAACGCUGUUAAAAAAGUUGUGAUAUCAAAAAAAGGCCAAGUAAAAAUGUCUUAAAUUCAUUAUAGAUUCAGUAUAGAAAUUGUUUAUAAUUGUAUUUGCAUUUGACGAAGCGCGAUGAUAUAAUACAAAUAAUUUAACUUAGCUUGGCGGCUACAUAUAUUUAAGAGCACAAAUACACAAUGCCGACGUGAAUAUUAACAUCACCAUUUUAUAAUUUAUUAAUGUAUUAAUAUUAAUUAUAUAAUAAUAGUACUAUUAUUACUAAUAAUACUAUAUAAUAAUAAAUUUCGAUAAAAUAAAUAAACAAAAUUGUUUUUUAUUCGCCGUAAACGGCUACAGUCGUAAACAAGUAUAACAACGCGUAAAGCAUAUACAUUUUUAAAUUGUUGAAAAAAAAUAGCGUUUUGAGUAAAAACUAUGCUAAUACUUUUGCAUAUUACUCAGGCUGUAAUCAUCCGAUCAACUUGAAAUUUACAACAGUACCAUCUGCUUAAUAUACUGAUCAACGCGUGUAAAUUUCAAAACAAUCAGCUCAUUGGUUUAGGCUACAGAGAGGUCGGACUAUUUGUCGUAAAAUUACGCCGGUUAAAUAGGAGUUGAUCGUCUUGUCUAAUAUACCGUGGUCGACGCACGAGCUCUUUAUUUUUCACUUAGCUCUACGCCGCGAUUGCGACCGCAGCGCUGGAUUAAAGAUUCUUAUCGAGAAGAAAAAAAAUUAAUUUGAAAUUUAAGAGUACCUACCCAUAGGCCGUUUCACGUGCUACUAAGCAAAAAAAUAAAAAAUAAAAAUCACCUUAUGUGACAGGAAAUUACACCACUACAAAAAAAUUGAAAACCAUUAAUUCGUAUUGCAGCUAGUAUAGAAAUGAAAAAGCUUAUUUUUUUUUUUUUAUUUAUAGACAUCAUGAAGACUUUACGGCAACGGCGUGGUACUUUCCGCACGAAACCGACCCCGACUUGCCGACUAUACAUAUACACAGUAAGUAUACACGUCUUAUACUUUUCGAUAUUUUUAUUGCCCCCCAAAUGCCUUAAAUUUUUUUUUCACUCGGCCGACUUCUCUUGUCUAUUACUAUAUAUAUAUAUGUGUGUGUGUGUACGGGAGCUAUAAAAUUGUUUGUAAAUAAUAUAUAAGCCGGGGAGCUGUGAAUAUUUAAUGAGCAGGUGCAUCACGAUAAAAACUCGGGGCGAAAAAACGAUUUCGUGUUCGACGAAAAAAAAGUCAGUAGGUAUCACCCCGCGUCUCCAAAAAUAGGAGUGUGCAUCCACGUAAACGCGUUUGGUGUGAGGCUUAUCUUGUUGUGUCCUACAUAAAGAUAAAUGUUAAAAUAUCUAGAUAAAGAUAAAAAAAAAAAUAACAUUACUCGAAUAACAGGUCUAAACAAAUAUAGAAAAUGCAUGGAAAAAAAUGUAAUUUUCUAGAUUACGAAAAACAACCAGAUAUACGCGUUUCUGGAUUAGAAAUAGAAAAAAAGAAUAUUUCAAUAUAAUUUUUCAUCGUAAAACAAAGAGCGUAAAGUUCCCUAGUAAAACGUGUACCAGAUUUUGCACGGGUCCGGAUUUCGCAUGGAAAACAACGGCGUGUGAUUGACGCGACUCAAUAAUUUAUUUACGAAACCGCGAGUGAAAUGUUUCACCUGUUAUUUCUAAUAAACGUAUAAAUUACGAUUUCAUGCGUCGUGCAUAAAGGUUCGGCCAUCUUAUUUUUCGUGUUUGUCUAGAUAAGAUAACCAUAGAUAAGAUAAAUAUACCUAUCCAGAUAAUGAAACAUAAUACACACACACGCACACACACACACACGUGCCUGCUAUACGAGAUAAAAAAUAUCAUGUUUUUUAUGAUAAUAUAUAGCGGUACGAUAAUAAUAAUAAUAAUAAUAAUAAUAAUAAUAACAAUAAUAAUAAUACAUAAGACGUCCUCUGGGGAAUAAGAUACGCGAACACCACUAACAAUAAUUUCGGUCGCGUUAAUUACGUUUAUUAUAACGAACAGAAUAUUAUUGCUGUUUGGCAUGUGACGAUUUCAAUAUUGUCCAUCGCCCUCCCCUCACUCUAAUGUAAUAUUGUAUACGACGACCGAUCCCACGUACAUAUUAUUAUACAUUUGUAGAAUAGACACGCGAAACGACCCUCUAUCGGUACACAAACAAAACGAGAAUAAUAAAAAUAAUAAUUGUUACAUUACAAUAACACCGUCGCGACCCUUUUUUAUUUUAUUUUUUUUUUUUUUGGCAUUCAAUACUAAUAUCGCUAAUGGUUUUUUUUUUUUCUGUUUUGGGUCGCGCGCGUUUAGGGUUUGACAAACUUACGCGUAGAAUCAUAUCGUAUUAAAACGCGCGCGAACUCUAUAUCUUGUCCCGAUAAAAUAUAUACGCGACAACAAUAACAAUAUAACGAUACGCAAAGUAGGAGGGGAAUAAAUUAUUUUUACGAGAGACGAUAAUUGAUUUUAGUCGAUGUCGCUUAUAAGCUGCAGGGCUCGGAAGUAUUAGCGCGUUCUCAUAUUAUUUUGGUUUUUCUUUAGGGUGACGACUUAUAAAACUACGGUUCCGUGAGUUGUUGGUUUGUACUUCACUGCGUUGUCAUAGGUAACACACAACGGAGUUUGUUGUCACUAUUUCUCGCAUUUUUGAGACUUGUUGAGCUGUUUCGUUAAUUCGGGCGUUUUAAGUGCUAUUUACAGGAUAGAAAUAUAGGGUUUACAUAUUUGUUCCAUAUUUAGGAGAUAUAGGAGCUAUUUUACUGGUUUAGCUAUUUUACAUUAAUAGUAAACGACUAAACGGAUUCGAAAAAGAUGACCGUAUCCGGUUAGUCGAUCUUAUCAGACAGUUUCGUUUGUUUCCGACAGUUUGAUUAUUUUUAAAAUCGCUUUAAUCCCAUAUUAAUACAUUGUUUUUAAAUUUAACAUAGGGAAUUUUAUUUUACAUAUUUUUCGAUUUUAUGAUGCAUAUAUAUUAAAGCGCUAAAAAUGGACUUUUUUAAGGACUUUUUCAGAAAAGAUCCUAUACUUGAUAAUCGGAGUAUGUUUUCUGGUAGAAAAAGUGUUCACAUAAAAAAAAUUCAAAAAAAUUAAAUAAUAAAUAUUAUUGUAAACCAAUACAUUCAUCGUUUCACUCAGAAUCUAAUAAAUAGGUAUGAUUAUAAUGUAUAUAUAUAUUACAAUUUUAAUUUGUACAUAACAAUCUACUCCUAAAAUAUCAAUGCAUAUAAGUUCCUUUUUGUAAAUUUGUGUGCAUGACUAUCGACAAAGCGACAUACAGUUCGUUCCCUCCUCCCAAAGGAGAAAGCUGAGCACGCCAUUGCAAAGUUGUACUAGGUGAAUGCGAAUUUGCUAUGUAAUACAUUUGAAAACAAAGACAGCAUAGAUGAGUAUUAUAUCCACAUAAUUGAAUCAUACCUAGAUACUAAACUACUACCUACUACUAUCCUGGCUAAUUGCAAAAGUCAAAUUUACCGUCAAACAUUAAUUUAUGAGAAAAUAUAUUGCACGUUCAUACAUAGGUUCCUAAUAUAUUAUUUCGAGCGAUUCGUAUUUUUGGUAAUAUUAUCAUAUUACGAGACGAGUGAAAAAUUGUUUAAUUAAAAUUCGUAUCUCGAAACGAAUAAUGUCCAUUUCUUGUUAUAGAGUGGCGUAUUUGACAUUUUAUCUAGAGUGCAGCUGAUAAAAAAAAUCGCAUUCACAAACCCGUGUCACCCCUCCCUCGGGUGUAUAUAUUAUAAUUGUAUACACUCAUCUCACUUUUGAUGAAAUAAUUUUGUUUUUAAAUUAACAAAAUGGCUGAUAAUAUUAUAAUUAUAAAAUAAUGCUUGAAUAUUAUAUCACGAUGAUCACGCAUUUUACACUAUUUUCAUAAUUAUAGAAUUACGGAUAUUUUAUUAAAUUGAAAACUAUUAAUUAACACGCCGAUCCAUUAGUGUGUUAUAAUUUAAUAGUGACAAUAUAAACAAGCCACGGAGUGAAUCUAUUCACAGUUCCGAUCUCGUGAAUAAGUCAUCGAAAGUUCACUUUAUAGGAAAAAAAAAGCGGAAAAACUCGACAACACGAUGGUGAACACAUUCAAACAUUUCAAACUAUAACAACCGAAAUUAUACGCGGAAACGCACUCAAAAUAUCCGGAAAACGCAUUCCGGCGCUGUGUGAAAACAUACUACCGAACUGUACGAGGUAUUCCACGAAGAUACUAUAAUGGAAAGUAAUAACUUUUUUUCGGAAUCUUUUGUUUUUUAGCAAUUUAAAAAAUAAGUGGUUCUAAAAUGUUACUUUACCAUUGUUUAUUGUAACUUGUAGCCCUUAUUUUUGGGGGUGAACUAACUAUGCCUACUUUUGAUUUUUAAAUGACUACUUGUAUAAUUAAUAAAUAUACAUGUUGGCAUUGACAUUUUUGAUUUCCGUCAACCCGUUAACGAAAUAUCCACUUUUAAGGUCGCGUAGUGGGAGAAUAGGGAAACGAUAUUAAAACGCCGUUACUUGUUUUUUAAAUUGUAAAAAUAAAAAUGAAUUACAAAAAAAAAAAUCAAUACUUUCCGAGAUAUCGCAGCGGUCAUAGCUUCGCGGGAUACCCUGUCUAUAAGUAAGUACGUGGAAACGACACCCAAAAACACGAUUAUCGAUAGUAUAAUAAUCUAUAACAACGGAUCGGUGCGGGAUUCAAAUAACAAUUUUUUACUGCGUUGCACGUUUAAGGUUAUUCAAAUUCUCUAUGAAAAAAAAAACAAAACAAAACACAACAAGGGAUAUCAUAUUUUUUACGCAUGGAUGUAUCUAUAUGGUCUUGUUAGUCGAAUUGUUUGCAUGUAAACAUUCGGGGCCAUCGGAGUAUAAUAGCGACCGCAAUACCGAAAUGCACGCGUGUCAACGUGACUACAAUGAUAUUAUACGAACACGUUCGGUUAAAUUAAUCUAUUUACAUGAUCGGUAUCGAUAUUAUCUCGUUUUUCAUAGAUCUAUUGUACUGUAAAAAUGGCGUACGUGUACUGCAUUAAAAUACAUUUUAUUUCAACAUUGAUUUUUUUUUUUUGUUUUUUUUGUCGUUAAAACAAUAAAAUUGUUGUAUACGAGUAUGACAGUGUGCCGAAGAAACAUUUCUACGGUUGCAAGAAAUAAGUGUUAAAAAAGUCGUUCUGUAUAGUUUUCAAUACGAGCAAAUUGUAUUUUUGAAAUUGCUAAAAGCUCCAACCUUAAUAUAACGUUUUAAAAUAAAUCUGAUACAAUUACAAUUUUAUUAACUAUUUUGAGCUUUCUUCGGCAACUAAAAAGUGCAUUAUGGCAACAUCGAGAUAUUUUAAUAUUCAGUAUACGAGUAGUAUGUGUUAGAAUAUACAUGCACAUAUGCCAUUUAGACCGAAAAAUACUACGAAAAAUAAAACAAAUUACAAAAUUGACUUAAGCACUUCACAGUUUUAUAAACGUAUAUAAUAUUUUAGAAGGACCGCGAACAAAUUGAAUUUCAACCCGCGUAACAUUUUUCUUUUUGAAUUAAGAUAAUGAAAUGAUAUUAUACUCUUCUAUGAUAUGCGAACCGUACGACAACAGAGGUGUGACUUAUAAUAAGGUUAAAACAACGUACACGUUAUGUUAUUUCAAUUCGAAUUCGGACAAAAGUCUCAAAUCUCCGAGACUUUAUAACUAACAAUGGAACUGUAAGUAUAUAUUGCUGGCCGACAUUGAAUUAAUAUUCCGUCGAGAGCCGUUGAAAUGGAAACGCCGUUGAAAACCGUAUAAAUCCGCAUUGCUUUAUUAAUUUACGCACUUAUAGUAACGUAUCAAUUUAAAAUCGAUCAAUAUGCACCGUAAAAAUAAUGUUCGCAUUAGGGGAAGUUUAUUUCAGAAAUGUACAUCAAAAUAAUGAAAAACUACAGACUAUUGUUGUAGGUCUGUAUAGUUAUACGCAUACGCAUACGAAUCUCAACUGCAUACUUUUUGUAAAUCAUACAGAUAUUAUUUAAAAAUCUAUUAGAACGCGCAUUAGUUGAAUAUUUCAAUAAUACUCCAUACAAAAUUACCUACGACUAUUCAAUUAAUGAAACUUAACUAAGGCCGACGGGGGAGAGAGGCCAAAGUCCUUCGGGCCCCUCCCUUAAAUCCGCCACUGCCAUACUGCAUAAUAGUAUUAUACAUUAAUUGUAUAUUAAUAUACUUACCUAAUAAUAUACAGUACGCAUGGAUUCAAGAUGUACAAUUCGGUUAAGUUUAUAUAAAUUGAUAAUUAAUGAUCUCGAACACAUUACUGUGCUCUCAAUAUUUCAUAAAGCAAUCUUUAAUUCAAAUAUAUAAAUCAACUCAGGAAUAUUACUAGUGUUAACAAAAUUAUUUUCUGACAGCUAUAUAUUGUAUUAGAGUAAAAAUCAUCACGUAUAUGAAUAAAUAUAUUACUAUCGAUGGAAAUGAGUGCGUUGUUAAUACAGAAAGCAACAAAAUUGUUUUUUUUUUUUUUUAUAUUUAUAUUUAAAGUUAAUUUUUUAGUAGGUGUUUUUUUCUUGAAAAUAUUUACUCUAUUUAGGCUUUAAGUAGUUUUUUUGAACCGUUUCCUAAAAUAUAUCGAAAAAAAGAAGACUACAAGUUUCGUCAGCAUAAUGUAACUGAUUAUUAAUCCACUGACAUUCAAAUCACAAAUAUAAUUAAUACAUAAACUAUACGAAAUUUGCCCCAAUAAAACUGUCUUAUGGCACACUGUAACCAAUUUUUUUCGUUUUGUUAUUGAAAUUUACACUUUCUCUGUUAACUCCGAAAUCAGGCAAAAUAUUACUCAGCUAAAUUUUAGACUACGGUGUCAAAUCUCAAACGCUUUUGCUAAAUUGUCUAAAUCCAAAAAUAUUACCAUAACUUGUUGGCUAUUAUUUAAUUGAUUAUAAAUUACUGUGGUCGUUGAGUUUGUAGAACCUAACCCGGUCAAAACCCAAAAUGGUUUUUUGAUAUCUAAUAGUUCAUUUUUUUCUAAUUAUUACAAAAACUGAAGCUUUGUAACUCAAGAAUUAUAAGUUAUAUUAGACACGUAUUUUUUUUUUUUUUUUAUAAAAUCGAUACAAAUUAAAGACGUUACAAUAAAAUUUGAAUUAUUUUUAAUUUUUUAACUGAUAUUCUAUUAAAGCUAAAAGCUUUUAAAUCCUUUACAUUUGUAUUUAUUCAACGCUUCAUUUUUUCCAACGGGUAUUAAUUCAUUAAAAUACUAUCAAAUACAUUCAUAUUAUACGUCAUACUUUUAGUAGAAACGUUUUAAUAUUAGGUUUAAUUUUUCUGUAAAUUACACGGUAAAUGCCAUUGCAAGUAUUGAUACUCGAAAUCCAUUUAACUUACAACAUGUAACGCGAUUAUAAUGAAUAUAAUAUGGAAAGCAAUUAUAAACACUGUGCAAGUAUUAGUAGAACGAGUUUUCGAUUUAAACUCCAAACACUUUUUAAAAUAUUUAAAUUCAUAUUCGGAAUUCGAAUAUUUGUAUUCAUAAAUACUGUUAAUCAAACGCUCUACAAGUCCACUCGGCCACUGUAUGACUUCGGUGAGUAUCGGGUGAAGAAUUUGCGCACGUAUAUACGUCUUUUCGGAAAUUCAUAAUUUCGAGUACCGGUUGUUGUGUAAUAUUAUAGUAGAUAAUAUAUUAUAGAGCUACCCCAGUACUCUUUUGUAAUCUAUAAUGCACGUUGUCAAAUUGAAUAUAUAUAUAUAGGUAAGUGCACUGUUAUUGUCACUUUCAGCGUGUGUGCGAGCAUAAAAGUGUCGCGUAUACGCGCGGAGGUAUAUAAUAAUAAACGUUUAGAAUUUACUAUUCUAGGGAAAUAAAAAAAAUAAAGAUAAAAAAAAAUAUGAAAGCGAAAGAGAGAAAUAAGACACCGUAUGCAUUAUUUAUUGUUCCGACACCGUUUGUAGCCCUACUCCACUAAAGGGGGAGAAUAUUUCGUAAUGUACCCUGCUACAAUACAAUACCUACUCGCCGUUUCACGGUACAAACAUAAUGUUUGAUGCUAUUAUUGUAAUAUUCGAUCGAUUAAUGAUAAGAAUAUUAUACAAUCGAUCGAUGUAGCCGAAUUACCGCAUUGAGAAAAUUUUUUACAAGCGCGUUCGUUAUAACUACAAAUCAUAAACGAUUUUUGAAAGGUUUUUGAACCCACACAUUGUUUUUGUUUUUUUUUUUUUUUUGUGUGUAUUUGAAUUAUAUUAUAACGAUAAACAAUAUAAUUUCAACGCGAUUACAAGUUUAAACUCGACGAGAAAGCAAAUACCACACGCAAGUGAAAUCGUGAAAUGUUACAGAUCAAAUAAGUAAUGAAAAUACGAUAAUGUGGUUAUAUAUAUACGUCCUAAAAGUUUUCUAUUGGUUUUGUAAGUUAGCGACGAAAAUGAAUCAUAAAUCAAACCUAUCCCAUAAUGAAGUUUGAGGACCAGAUAUCGAUCGUUUAACUCGAAAAUAAAGAACAACAACUUACAAAUUUUUCCGAGGCGGUGAAACUUUAUAUACUUGUAUUAUAUAUAUAUAUAUAUAUAUGUAUAUGUGUGUGUGUUUCUAUGACAAGUGUGUUAAAAGUUGUCAUAGAAACCUAUUAAAUUAUAUGUGUGUUAAAAGUUAUAAUUUAAUAGAUUUUCGAAUACCCGAUAAUAAUAAUAAUAAUAGACCGUAUUUGUCUGAUUAUAAAUAUCCGAAUUUCUCACAAUGUAUUGUAUUUAUUAAAAUUAAAAUGUACUAUUGACUUUUUAGAUAUUAUACGUUAGUUUUGUAGUGAGAUCGUAAUGUUUUAGAAAUAAUAUUAUCUUUCAUACAUUUUAUACUUUGAAGUUUAAUAUAACGUAUAGGUACGGCGAUUCUCAGAAAUUAAAUCAAUAAUAUUUUCUGCUGAUAUUUUCAUCAAAACAGUAACAAUAAAAUAAUUAUUUUCUUCAAAAAAAAAUACAUAUAUUUUUAAAAACACGACAUUCUAAAAUGGACGCAUUACCUUUACCCUAAGUCUUUCAAUAAAAAAAUAUUAUUUUAGUCUUAAAGUAGUACCUACUACGUAAUAAACAAUAAUCUCGGCCAUUUCACUCCUCGCCAAGUUGUAAGUUUAAACGAUUACAAACAUAAUAAACUAACGGUUCAGUAUUAAAUGAGUUUACUCUCGUAUAUAUAAUAUACAUAUAUGUAUGUAUAAGUAUAAAAUUCAUACGUUGCAAAAAUUAAAAACAAUGACAUCGGUACCGCGCCGUAAAUUUUUUCCGUAUAUAUUUAUUAUAAUUUUCUUUCAAAGUUUUCCCAAUUAUUUCGAAAACUCCGUGCAAUAUUUAAAAAAAAAAACCACUUCUCUAAUUUCCUUUUAAAAAAAGGUACUAUACUCUAAAUAUCAGAGCAAGAUUUCUUUUCGAAAAGUUGUUUACACACAAAAAUAAUAAAGCACACAUGAUAGUGAAACCAAUGGUAAUGCUGUCGAUAUUUUUGUAGCUGGGCCGAGCCCCUCGAUAUAUUUUGAUAUACAUUGCAAUCUUUAAAAAUAUGCCCCUUACCCUCUUCGUACGUCCGAUUACGCCACUAAAUCGACCUGUACGUAUAUAAUAUAAAUGUACCAUAUUAAAAUAAAUAAUUCAGUAAUAAGUUUGUGUUUAAUUUAUCGGCGAUAAAACAAUGUUUCGGUAUAUGGGCGCAAUAGAAAUUAAGUAUACAUGUGUAUGCUUGAUGGCAAUAAAUACCUACGUUUCACAUUACAUUUUUCUAUUCAAUAUUAUUUAAAAAGCCUACAUAAAUUAAAAAAUUUAAACAAUAUUAAAUAUACAUAAUACAUUAGAAACUCCGUAAAAUAUGCCCUUUUUUCUCGAAAAUUGACGAAUUAUGCAAACUAUGACUUUAAUAUGUUCGAUUUUUAAACUCUCAAUAGCACAGAUUUCUUGCUUUAUCGGCCGUAAAUCGAGAGUAUAUACCGAUUCAAUUCCUAUAACUUCCGAGCACUCAUUACUACUCAUUACGAUAAAAUAAACUUUCUAAUAUCUCUUGAAUUUUAAAUGUAUUAAUUAUUACAUUUGACACCAAAAGUGAACGUUGGGGUAUCAUGUUAAAUUAGUCAUACGUUAUUAACAUCAUAUCUCGCCAAAAAUUACUAAAUUAUUUAAAUAAUCCGUUGUAAUAGACAGCGCUAAAAGUUCUCAACACCCUAGCGGAUGAAUAAUAUAUUCGCCUAUUUUGGGUUUGCGUAACAUCAAAAUAAAGUAUGAAAAUUAUUAAUUUAGUACCGUUAACAAAAAUAUUCUGGAACGUGAGAAAAUUGCUUUCAUUCGAAUCCAUCAUGAGUAAAAAGAAAUGUAUAUAAGUUCUAAAUUAAAUAAAAUAUUGUGAGCAAAAUAUUAACAAACGAGCCUUUUCUAGUUAUUUAAUGUAUAUUUUAUAAAAAAAACUAAUAUAAUUUGAAAAAAAAAUUAUACAUUAUUAGUGUUAAGAGUUAAUUUAAACAAAUAAUUAUAGAGUUGAAAUUUUCAAAAAUGUUGAUAUUUUUUUUUUUAUUUUUACAAAAUAAUUUGAUUAAAAUACAGUAAAUAUAUUUUGUAUUCAAUCAUCAAGGUUAUCCGCUAUUUUACUUUAUUUAAUUUAAAUUCGUGUACUAUUUAUAAUCUUAGAAACGUUUUGAAGAUGUUUACUUACAAACAACUCCUUAAAGUAAUAAAGGAAUACUCACAACUUCACUACAGCAGCUAUUGCAAUCUGUUUGUUUUUCAUAACAUAAUCGGUCUGUGUUUGUUGAACAACUUUUCUAUAUUCAUCAUAUUAAAUUUGAGAGAAAUUAAUUAUAUACGAGUUUGAUUUAAUUUUCAUAAAUUGAGCGUUUAUAUUUAAACUAAUUUUAGGUAUUAUAAAUCAGAUCUAUUCGAUUAAAACAAUUUAAUGAAUCAGCGGUAGAAUAAAAUAUCAUGAUAUAGAUGCUUGCAGUUGCGUAUUACGAAUUAUUUUUUUAGCCAUGGGUGAAUUAACACAAUUUAAAUGUUAAGUCAAACUAAAUCAUACCAAGACUACCAGUAUUACAAAAUGUAUGUGCUUCUGGCGGAAAAAGUUGAUGGAACCGAUAAUUUCCCCGAAAAUACUUCACUGGGUACUCGUAUAACUUUCAGCUGAUUAAUAUGUUUUGAUAUUGGAAGGGAAGUUUUUGGUAUGUGAAUUUAAUACUGUUUUAGAUUUUAAGUAAUAACAAAUAGGAACUAUAUGUGUUAUAAUUUUAUAAAGAUGCGUUUUUUCUUAAUAAAACACUUUUAUGGUUAUAGUAUAAAUGAUCGGAUUCUUGCCUGUCAUUCCUUAAGAGAUGAUAAUUUUUAACCUGAUUGUAUGUUAUUUCAACGAUUUUUUUUAAAUUCAUAAUCUACUUUCAAAAGGAUUAUUUUUUCUUCUUUAAUAAACACAUUUGUGACUUUUUGAAUUAAUUAAAUGACCGCAUGUAUCCUAAUUUCUUAUCUAUUCCCCCGAAAAAAUACCCAUCCAGUGAGCAGUAUCAACUUAUUUUAAAUAUUACAAUUAUUCAAUUAAAAAAAAUAUUUAAUUAGUUCAUUUUCACUUUUAACUGGGGAACUGAUUAAAUAAAUCGCCUAUACUUGCGCUUACAAAUUUGAGAUAUUAAUAUGCUUUGAAAAUGAAAAUUAAACAUAAGAUUGUAAUAUAAUUUUGUUGAAUUACUUAAAAGGGACUGAACGUUAGACGGGAUAUUUUUAAUAUAGAAAUUUCAAAUUUAACAGUACUAAAACAAACAAGAAGAAUUAAUAAUGUUAUUUUCAAACCAUCGUCGUCGAUUCAUUUUAUUUAACAAGCGUACAACAAUUGGUUAAAUAUAAAUUAUACAAUCUAUAUUAAAAUAUCCAAACGUUUGUAAUAUGAAAUUUAUUAUUACUGACGCAGCCAUAAUGACAGCGAACUGUUGACAAAAGAAUCGUUGCAGAAUUUAUAUUUUCCCCGUGGACAUACCUUACCUCCCACUGAUUUUAAUAAUUCAUUUUACGAUACUAACUAUGGUAUAAUACGAUUUUGAUGUAUACCAAUUAAAACGUUGUAUAAAUGCCUAAACGCCUUUAUACCAAAGACAAUACAUUUUAUAAAAUAUUAUAAAUGAUGUUUCUUGUUAUAUUGAAAUCGUUUUUUCUGCAAAAAGGUUUGAUGACAUUUUAUAGCCAUCAAACGAAUGUUCGAAAAUAACGUAGGUACAUUAUUCACUAUUAUUAUUACGCAAAAAACCCGGUGAUGUCUUCAAAAAGUCUUUCCCGAUAGGCAAUAUUUGUAAAAUAAAAUUUCAUACCUAUAGGUUUUAGGUUAGUCGCGUAAUUGGGAGAUGGCAAGAGGUCAUGCUUGUGACCCCAAAUAUAAUACCGGGGUAGCAAAAGUAUUAAUCUGCUACCCUUAAAAUGUCUGUAUUUAUGGUUAUUCGUUAGUAAAAAAAUUUAAAUCUGUAAGUAAUUAUUUAAUUAUGAAAAAAUAAAUAUUCUAAAAUAAUAACGUUAAAAUGUCAUAUUAUCAAUAAUCCGCCAAUGAAUACAUUACAAUUGAUUGUAAUUCAAUAUCGUAAAUUAAAUAAAAAUUAGUCGAUAUUUAGAUUUAAACUGUUCUGUCGUAAAUUUAAAUAACCAUUAAAUGCAUUAAACAUUACUAUAAAUAAUUUAAAAUAGAGAACAACAGUAAGAUGGUAUACAGUUUUAAAAUUCUGAAUAUUGUAUACUAAUUGUAAAACAUUAUGUGAUUUAAUUCAUAGUUUUCAAUAGUAUGUACCCAUAUAAGAAUUAUAUAGAUUUAUCAUUAUAAAUAUAUUAUCUAUCUAUCUUAUGUAUUUUAUAUUGAUAAUAUGAUUUUUUUGUUUUUGUUUAAUAAUUAUAUUUGAUUGUAUUGAGACAUUAUUUGUAACGUUGGGGUUAUGGGACAAAUAAUCUUACGGGUCUGUGCAUCUUGAAUUAUUUUUGCAACCCCAGAAAUUAUACCAAAAUCACGCCACUGUUUUAUGUGUUCUAAAAAUGGUUCUCGACCUUUUUCUCCGGAUAAAAUUCUCGAAUACCUACUCACAAUGCGUUUUGCCCGAAUAGUAUAUUGAUCUCCAAAUAGUAUUUGUCAAUUUUUCCCGGUACUCUACAGUAGGUUUGAAUAUUUCUAAUCGUUUAAUUAAACUUGUUUUUUUUUUUGUCUAAAUACUCUUCGGGAAAAAUACUAAUCGAGGAUUAUAUUUUUUAGGAAAAAUAACAUUUGAAAACUCUGUUCGGGAAAUUUAAUUCGGAAACAAUACAAGGAAUCCUACAAAAAUUCCUAUUCUAGAAAUUCUUUUAUACUUUCGUUUUUUUUAAAUUGAUGCCUCGAUACUUGUAAAAAACGUAUUAAUGAUACGAUAAAAAAAAAAGUAUAGAUACGCCAUUUUCAAAGUGGUCCGGGAUUAUGAAUAAAAACGUCAAUCAACGAAAACAAAAACCAACACUGUAUUGAUUUUUUAAGUAGUGCAGAUAUUAUUUAUAUGCUUUUGCAUAUUUAUAUUGAUAGUCAGAAAAAGUUUUUAUUUUCUUUUUUUUCCAUACAUAAUAUAUUACUCAAAAGAAAAAGGACUGAAAAUAUUGAUACAUGAUGCGAUUUUGUUUAAAAUUUAGUAAAACAUUUAAAAAAAAAAUAACUUUAAUUUUGAAAAUUUGAAGAUUUUAUUAGUUUAUACUUAUGUAUUUUGAAUAUGUUGACGUUUCGUCUUUUUAUUUUCAUUUAAUUAAUGAUAUUUUUUCUUUAGUUCAGAGAAAAAUAGUGUAUAAAUAUUAAUAACACCAAUAUAAUGUUUCGAAAAUAUCCCAUCUAGUUUUCUGAUAUAUUUUGUUUAGUUAUAAGUUUUGAGAUAAUAACAAAACACAAUUAUGUUUAAUACAAUAUAUUGACAAUCAUGAAUUAAAUUAAAAUAAAAAGUUAUGUUUUCAGAAGAAGAACUCGCUAUAAAACGGCUAUAUUCAAAUUUGUCAGAACUAAUAAAAUAAAAAGGUUUUUUUUUUCAUUUUUUCGCCAAAAUAUUAUGCGAGUUUAAUUGAAACAUUAACAUUUGUAAUCCUUCAUCAUUUUUUUUAUCUCAGUACAGAUAUCGAAAUGGGCGUCCAAUCUUUGUGAGACACCCUGUAUAGAUACAAUAUAAAAGCUUUUUUACUAUGAAAUACGAGUCAGUACAUUCAGUAUGUUUCGUAUAAUAACAAUUAUCUCUCGGUAGUCAGUGAAAAGCAAACGUCUUAAUGUCAUUGAUAGGGUAACGAAGACGUCCUCAUUUCAUUCACAGGUAUUCAGAAAUACACGCCCACAAAAACACAUAUGUGUGCACACAAACACAAACUCGCACACACGCGCUUUUAACAUGGAUAAAUGAACCUGACGAGAGAUAACGACAAGGGUAGCGGUACAGUAAUAAUAUCGCAUAUUAUUAUACUAAUCCGAAAGCCCUAGAACCCCAGUAUUACAUUUAUUUACAUGUUAUAAGUGUUUGAGACGUGUUUACGCUGUCGCAACAUCUACUUUUCGAACAAAGACAAUAAUAUGAUGUCGACUACAGACUAAUGUCAAAUAUUAUACACUAUUUUUGGUCCCUUUGAAUCAAAACACUUCCGAAAUCUAUACUAUGCCGAGUCACAAUAAGAAAAUCAACACAAUAUCGUAUUAAAAUACGCUGGUAAUAUAACCUAACAACGUGGAAAAUGAAAAUAGCAUGUAAUUUGUAAUAUUUUUAAAUUGGUAAAUAUAUUCAAAUUUCAAAUAAAUUAAUCAUAGAGAAUACUAAAAAUAGAUUAAAAAUAUAAAAUAUAAAAUCAAUAAAUCCUUCACUCUACUGAAUUAUAGCAAUACAAACAAAAAAGAACGGAUAAUGGGGACGGGUGCGGCCACUGCUGUAGGUGGGUAGUUGGGAAGAUAGGAUACCUAAAGUUAUUUUAUUGUACAUGUAGUAGGUGUAACCAACGAUGAACUAUUGCAAACGAAAAACGAUUUGGAGUGAAGUACGAUUAUGCAUGAUUUGAAAAGCCGUAAUAUUUAUAAUUUUAAUCAAAAAUUGAUUUUAAAACUUGUAAAAAAUACAAAACAAGACACUACAUAACAGUUGGUUUUUUUUUUUUUUUUAACACUAAGUACAAUUUAUAGUGAAUCUACAUUUCAAAUGUUCACGUAUUUUGUGUUAAGUCUAACAAUUUUAUCUACAGAAAUAAAAAUUACAUAAAAAACUUGAAAAAUUAAAAUGGCUAUAAAUAGCUCAAAAAUAGCAAGAAUCAUUUGAAAAUUUUACCGCGUCUGGCAAAAAUUAAAUAUAAUUUUACUGUCAAAAUUUGAAAAUUUUAUUUUUUCUAAUUACUUCGAUUACUACUUACGAACUUUCUGCGUGUCACAAGUUGGGAACCUAUGGAGUAGAGUACAAAAAUAAAUCUGUGUUGUAGACUUUCAGGAGAAAGGAGUAUUAAAAAAAGGGGUAUGUGACUAAUUGAGGAAAUGUAUAACGGAGAAAGGAGCAAAUUAAAGAACAGAAAAUCAGACGGUUUUAGGGUAAAAGUAUGUGUGCACAAGUGUUUGGCACUGUUUUUCUUGAUAAUGAAUGAAAUGACUAUUGCAGGGUGAGUAACCGUGGUGUUUGAUGUUUGCAGAUGAUGUAGUAGUGAGAGUAGUAGGAAGUUUGAAAGAAAUUAAGGGGGAAAUUAAUUAUAGGCUCGAAGAAUGGAAAACUGAAAUUGAAGAAAACGGACCGAGGAUUAAUACGGGGGUAAAACAGAAUGACGCAUAGAGUGGCUGUUCAAUAAAGACUGAGGGGGAUGUUCACUAGGUACCAAACCUAACAACACCUGCAGAAAUUGAUGAUUGGAGUUUCUGAAAGAAAAAGUGUUUACUGUAAUAAAAAUUCACUUAGUAAAUCAGAUACAUUAUCUGGCAUAUUCCAUAUUUGUCAUUUAAAAACCUGUUUAAUUGAAUUAAACACUGAAUGUUUUAAAUCUAGCAAAUAACAUUUUAUUUAUUUAUUUUACAUAUUCCAGGACAUCUAUUUCUACAAUAUGGCUAGUGAUACGAACAGAAUUAGUGUACCAAGAUUUGGUCCAAAUUAAUUUAUAAAUCACAUGAGUGCUCAAAAAUCGCUCUUCAGUGUUCACUAAAAUUUAUAUUAUUUCCGACAAAAAAACGUAUAACAUAAAUGAAAAUAGUUCAGCAAUUAAUAUUUUAUUAUUUUUUAUAAUAUUUAAUACGUAUAUUUUUUUAUUUUUUUUUUUUUAACUUAUAAGCAUGAAAAGAAAACUUUUUCUAUUUGGAGAAAAUCACAAAAAUAAACUGUCAAUUGAGUUUAAUAUAAAGGCUUAAUGCAUCAGAUUAAAUAUUCAUUUCAAAGGAAAGGACUUCAGACUAUUCCAUCAUUUUUAUGAACAUUAACAAAAAAAUAAAUAAAUCGGGCAUUUGCUUUUUAAAAUAAAUUCAUAAUACUUUGCGAUACGUUUUAUUUCUUUUUUAAUACUUUUGCGACAAGGACAAACGACCGCUUAAACGGUGACAGCUUUUUUUAAAGGGUCUUUUGUUCAAAUGCCAAUGUUUCAAAGUAGGUCAGUUACACGUACAUUGUCGUUGACCACUUUUCAAGAAGCGAGGGCAGGUAUUAUACGAAUUCACUAUCAAAAAUAACAUUUCAAUAUGGCCCACACAGUUGAAACUUAAUGAAACAAUAUAAAUUAAUAUAAUUCAAUUCUAAUGCGAUUUGUAUACUUAAUGGAAAUAUAGCUACCUAUUAACUGAAUUCGUUAAACGCUACAAGUAGUAAACCUCUAAAAAAACAAACCAAAAAUACUCAUACAACAAUAAACUGGAAAAUAACGUUAUAACGAAAAGUUUUCAAAUCGUGUGAACGCAGAACAGUUUUAAAAUCCAUAUGUCAUAUAAUCAAUGCAAUUAGCAACAAACGAGUACACAGACUUUUUUGUUAAUCAAAUUAAAAAAACAAUUUGUCUAGCUUAUACGGGUCUAAUGUUGCAGUUUCAACUUUUGUCCGUCUAGGUUAUCUGGUUCCUCCCAACUUGCUGCUUAAUUAAUUUCCCUGGUAUCUUUCCUAACUCAAUCUAGUCAAAGUUAGCGUGGCGUCACGGCCUUCCUCGAGUUCACAUCUUAUUUAGGUGGCUAACAAACACAUUUCUCAUUCGAUUUGCCUUGGCUCUCGAAAUAUGCCACAACCAUUAUAAUCAUUCGUGUACGAGGCAUUUUUAAAUAUUAGAACCGUGGAAAUCGCUCUCAAUAUCCGCGUUAGUUUUCCUAACACACUGGAACAAAACAAAUAAAUCAUUUUUUAAGAGUUAUUAGCAGACGAACUGUAUGGAUUUUAAAACGUACUGUGUAACACAAGUGUAUAUCCGGAUUAGAUAAUAUCAUUUUAUUGACUAUUAAUGAACAUUUUUUUUUCGACCACCCAGAUUAUGCAUAUCAUAUAAUAUUACACAAUAUAUGUUAAGCUAACUGAAAGACAUAAUAAAUAAUAAUAUUGUGCAAAUACAGCAGGUAAGUGUGUUUCAGUCAUCAUAAUAUUUCUUAGGUAGGUACCUACCUAGUGCAUUACCAUUCAAUUAUAAUAUAAUAUAAUGCUAUAUUUGCCCAAGUUCAUUGUUGACUCGCAUUGUUCUUUUGUCAUUGUUUAGAGAUACUUAUAUAAUAUAUAUCUUUUCAAUUUUCUACUCUUAGAAAAAUAAUUUUAUUUCCAUACGAAAGAGCAGAGGUAGGGCGGAACAGCAGAGGGUACCGUUGUAGGUUAAGAAGGGAUCGGAAUAAUUUUUAGCGAAUACAAUAGAAGUAGAAUGGUAUUAUAGUUUUGUCAACACACGUGUAGAAAUACUUCCAAAUAUUUCCAAAUUAUAAUACUGUACUUGUAACAAACAGUUUGUAAAAUUAAGUAACAUAAUAACUGCAUACCUGGAGGAGGGUUAAGGGAGCUUCACAACUUCCCCACAAUUGUCCGCAUUAAAGUACAACAAAAAUAGUAUAAAUAAGUAAUGAAAUUUAAAUAAAUUUAACGGUAAAAUAUAUUUCAUAUGAAUCAAUAAUCAUCGCACACAGAGAUUUACUGGUCAAAUAGUAUACUAUCUCAGAAGACACUGGACGGACGUGGUGAAGGGUUGAGGGAUUUUAGAGAGAAACCACAGUCUCUCGAUUUUUACGGUGGGUGAUUUUGGUGACUCAUAUGACAUAUUGUUCUAUGAUCUGUAAUUGAUCAAAAUUAAUUGUACCUAUGUGUACAUAAUCUAAAAUAAUAACUAUUCUGGGAAACUGAAAUGGGUAAUACGGUAGAACUGUACAAAUAAGUACGAUAUUUAAUCGAUAUAGUGAUAUGUAUAGCAUUAAUGUUUAAAUAAUAAUUUCGGUGGAAAUGGCAAACUGCAUAUAUUUCUGAGUAAUGUUAGCAAAAGAUUUAAUCGAAUUACUUGCAUAUUAUAGAUAUUUUUUUGGGUGUUUAUAAACUUUAAAAUGAUGAAAGGGAACUGCAGUCCCUAAUUGUUUAGUAAACUAUUACACAAAGUGCGUAGCCUAAAAUUUGAAGUUUGUGGUAAGGAUUUGAAAAGUGUCUACUAAAAAAAAAAGACUAUUCCUUAUUAUAUAUAUACGUGACAAUAAUUAAAAAUUGCUGAUUUUUCUAAAUUUGUACCUACAUAAGAUAAAUAUCUAUGAUACCUGACAGAAAUAAAUUGUUAUCUGUCAUAUUUUUCUGAGUUGGCCUACUUUGUAGUACGACUUUUUUUUUAUAAAGAGUGAGUCUCCCGAAUCUUGUUGGUCUCAUAGAUAUAAAAAAAUAGUUCACCAAGCCGCUGAAUUACGAACUGUUAUCUGUAUUUAAAUUGUGGGGAGGUGGCCCGGUGUUUAUGCUAAUAAAUUUAUAUUUUUAUAUUAGUAUUAAAACACGUUUCCCUAUGAGUUUUCAACUAAAAAACUUGCUUUAAUCUUCAACUCUAGUGAUGAUUUUGGGAUAAAAAAUUUUGUUUAAUUGGAAAAUUUAGGAAGUCAUAUUUUCCUCUAUACUUUUCUUAAUAAUGAGAAAAAACCACAAAAAUACAUAGGAUAAACGAAAGUAUAUAUCGAUUUUUUCUUUCGAUUCUGUAUAUUAUUUCGUAGUUAUUUGGUGAAAAAUAAUCCUAGAGACUUAUAGAAUUUAAUACUUAUUUUAUAGGUGUCGUGAAAUAUUUAUAAUAUUCUAGGAUAUUUUUGGUUAUCUAUAACCUUUUAAAAUUUUAAAAUUCUUCUUUAGUUUUAUGUAGAUAAAUAUUUCUUGGUUCAUAAAAAUGCUAAAAAAAAAUAAACUUGAAUAAUCAUCGUAAGUUGACAAUGAAACAAACAUUUGAGCGUUAUAUAGUAAUUCAUUUUUUGUUUUUUUUUUCAGUUUUUAUUUUAAUCGUACCUAUGAUAAAAUUCAAAGAAAAAAAAAUCUAAAACAAAUGGAGACAUUUCACAGGAUGAAUGAACCACUGUUAUAGGUGAGAAUUUGGGAAGGUAGAGGGGAAAUUUAAUGUAUAUCUUUACGUGAAGAUUAAUAUUAUUAACGAACAACAAUUCUGAGCGGAGUUCGGUUAUACAUGUUUUGAAAUGCUGUAAUAUUUACGAUUUGAAAACAAUAUAUUUGGUACAUUUUCCCAUUUUCCCUCCACUUUUCCUGGUCUUUAUCAUUUAUUAUGAAAACUCCUGGGUAAAUUAAAAAUAACCUCUUUUUAAAAACAAAUAAAAUUCACAACUAACUUAUCAAAAAGUUUACGUACAAUGAGAUUUUUGUCCGCAUAAAAUAUGAUUUCAGCACGAUUCAAUUGUUAAGAUGUGUGAUAAAAUUCAAAAUUAUCAAUCAAAGAAAUUACAUCUGUAUUGUGUACAUGCAUUUAAUUUCCCAUAAAAUUAUAAGUUUUAGGUGUAUUAGUCUUUCGGAGUUGUUUAACUCAAUCAACUUAAAACGUGAUGGUAGAACAUAAAUAAAAGAAAAAAAACACCUAUCAUUUUAACUCCGAGAGUUCUUUGUUACUCGAAUACUUCGCUCGGAAUAUAAAAUAGAAAUUCUACGCAAGUUCCGAAAGAAAAAGAGAACAAUGUUUUUUCUAAUUAAAAAUAAUUAAAAAGAUGUUGUGUACCUAACAUAAUAUAUUAUAUUAACGUUGUUUUUUUUUUUUAUUUAUUAUUAUUAUUUCGUUACGAAGAACACACGUUUUAUUAUUUUAAAAACAUUUAAAUGGGUUAUUUCAAAAAGUUUAUAACACUCACCGCAUAGUGUUUUAAUCAAAAUUUAAAAUCUUGAGUUUUUAAAUUAAAAAAAUGUAACACAUUUUUAUACUUAGGCAUUUCUGUUUACUUCGCGCUAUCGUACUGCAGUGUCAUUUUACACAAAUUUAUCUGGGUUGUCAUUUUUCAUUCCGCUUUGCGUCCGAAAAUUGUUUUGCAGACGGAACGAAAAAGAGAGAAUAAAAAUAUAUAUGAUAUUAUAACCAUGUCCUGCGCGUACACACAUGGAAACGGAUUUCGCUCCUCCGGCGGCAAUGGUCGUGUAUCAUUUGACAGGCCAUUCCGACACAAACCCUUUAAUUUCGCGUUACGAAUUGUGUUCGGGGAGUAUAAAAAUUCAUUUGUCAUAUUGCCCCGUCAACCGUCUCGCCCCGGCGGAUUAUGUUCUGGUAAUGAGUUUUUGUCCCCGUGUACCCCCGUCGCUCCCCCCGCCCCCUCCGCCAUUUACUUUUCUCCCCCACUCACCGCUUCGGAUGUUCCCGAAUAGCUGAAUAGCCAUUAAGACCGAAGAUACUAUCGUGGUUGAAAAAUUGUAAACCGUUCGAGCCUUUUUUUUUUCUUUUUUCUUCCUUCGGCCGAGUGCUUCGUGCUCGCGAUCAUGGUGAUAACGCACAAGUCAAAGGGUAUAAACCUCUUUUCCUCGCCUCCUAUUGUACACCGUACUGUACCCUCUACAGUUCAAGAGAACAUCGAUCUGUAAUUCCAUCUGGCUACUCGCUGCAAGGACAUUAUAAUCAAACGUGUUCGUAAUGCAAAUAUAAUAAUAUAAUCGAUAGGUAUUUUAAACAACGAUAUCACCGGUAUAGAAUUACGUUAAAAUUUACAGCUGAAUAGGUCCAAUCAUUAUUAUACUUAUAAAUCAUAAUAAUAAUACCUACUAUCCUUUAGACGUUUCAUUAAACACCAUACAAAAGUCAUCAUUUAUUACUAAUUGAUUUAGAAUGCUAAUAUGAAACAUUUGGAAACUAAGAUGCCUAUAGUUAUAUAAUUUGUAUCUGUACGCAACACAAAAUCAUUGUUAACGAAAUACGAUUCUGAGCGAAGUUUGGUUACAUGGUUUUUGAAAUGAUUUUUGGUUAAAAUUUGAAUUUAAAAAUUUCCUACUAAAAGUUAUUUUAUAUUACACGAUUUUUUUUUUUAUACCACUAAAAUAACUUAUGAUUAACCUCGUGUAAAUUUUUCAAGCAUUUUUCCUUGGACGAAAUAAUUUUAUUAGCAUUAAACCAAAUCAAAGUUAAAAAAAAAAAAUACGUAUAAAUGUCAAAUGGUUUUAAAUAGCUUAAAAAUUAACAUAAUAUUUUUGAAAUUCGACCACUUCUAUAAAAGGUCAAAACAAGUAUAUUUAUAAUGUAUUCUAUAUUUUUGUGUCAUUAUAAUUAUAUUUUUAGCCAAAAAAAAAAAAACUUUAUCUAAAAUAAUGAAACCGUGAUUGUCGUAAAUUUUUCCAGUUUUUCUAUGUUUUUUCAAUUAUUUAGAAAACUCCAAAGAAAAUCAUAACUGAUAAUUUGAUACAAUGAUGCAAUUUGCUUUUAGACAAGAUACCAUCCUCGAAAAUCGGAAUAAUAUUUUUGGUUUAAAAGUCGAUUGUAACUAAAAAAGAAUAAAAUAAAAUUUAAAAAAAACACAUCAUAUAUUUAAAUCCAGAACCGUGUUAAACUAUUGGUCGCCCAGGGGUAUCAAUUUUUAAACGGUCCCUGUUGAAGGUCUUACGUGGGGAUGAUUUGAAAGGUUUUUUCCGCCGAAUUCUAUAGUUUUUAUUACAAUUUUAUUAAAUACAAUUUACCUCCGUCAAGUAAUAGGAUUUUUUCUUACUACUGAAUGUUUUUCUGGGUAUACAUAUUACUUUACUUGGUUUUACUUGCGCUCUAAGCAAAACGUUUGAAAAUAAAAUAAAUAGCAAGCGCCAUAAUAUAAUAAUGAUAUUGUUAAUUAAAACUCGAGAUUUAUAUUGAGCCGGACGGUCCGUAGUUUUAAAAAAUUUGACGUCCCUAUUGGCCCUCCCCCUUACUUUACCACGGCUCUGUAUAAACCGAUAAAUUCCUCGCCGCGUUCAAAACGUAAUCGAACGUGCACGUUAAGCGCAAAACCGCAUUAAACAGAUGACGGUGACUCGCGAUAACCUAAAAUGUGAUGUCCGUUUUAGUCUAAGGCCCGUUUCACACGAUACUAGUUAUUGGGGGGUUAUCUCUAGCAUACUAGCUAGUUUUAUAUAUUGCAUUCAAUCUAGUGUACUAGAACCUGUACUAUAUAUUCUAUUCAGACCAUAAUGCACGAUACACUAUAAAAUGUACUAGAAACUAGUAGCAAAGAUAAGAAGGACGAUAAGAAAACACCUCUAUUCUUUAUACUACGGUUUUUGAUUAUUGUUUUGUAAAACAUUGUUUACAGUCGUGAUUGCAUUGCAAUAAAUAUUGAUAAAAUGUCUGUAUUCUGAUUGGUUCCAAAUAUUUGUACGACGCUAACUGGCGUGGAAAAUAUGAUAUGUUUUAAUAUCAAAACUAGUAUAUAUACUGGCCAGCGUGAUUUCUUUAACCAGUGUACUAUCGCGCUGUUCACACGGGCCAAAAUUUAGGAUACUGGCUAUCACGCUAGACCUAGCACGAUAACUAGUGCCGUGUGAAUUCACGGAACAAAUAUUGUACUGCGAAAUUCAACGACUUUUUAUUAGUAGAAACGCGCACAAUAGACGUACGAUUGUUCGACAUCAUAUAUAUAUAUAUUUUUUUUUUAACGACGAUUAAAAUAAAAAUUUAAAUCAACGUGCGCUUUACACACUCGUAUUUGCAUUUUGCCUGUUUGGCAUAUAAAAGGAUAUUAUCGCUGUAUUAUUUGGCUAUAAAAUACGAGCGGGUAACGUUAUUCGUGACAAUUUGUUUGUCGGACCGCUACGCGAUAAUAUUGUGACGCGUAUUGUGCAUACUACUAUUAUGCACGGAUAUAAUAAUUGAAUUCCGUAUUUAUGGAUUUCAGUUUAUCAAAUAACAAUCUAAACCCCUAUGGUCUACGAUCACAAUAAUGUUAUAAUAUGCAGGUACGCGGUGUAUACUCUGAGUCGUUAAAUAACAAUCGAAAUUAAAAAGCCCGAAACUUCCCUGCGAACGGCACGAUUGCAGUGUGAUGUAAACAUCGUCCGGUUGGACUCGAACAAAAUCGUAUUAUUAGACGACAAAGACGCGACGCAUUCGAAAUGGGAAACUGAUCAAUUGUAUAUGACGGGUAAAUAAAACAACCCUUUUAAACGCAUACGUAUUUUAUUAUUUUAUUUUAAAAAUUACUAUUAGAUUUUAUUAUUUUUUUUUUUUUUAUGCCAAUGAAAAUCCUGUAAAAUUUAGGUUUCUCGAAAAAAAAAAUAUACACAUAUAAUAUAUACAUAACAACAUACAUAUAUAUAAGUAUAUACAUUACGCCCGUAUUUAAUUUAUUCAAACAAAAAGUUUUAACACAGACACAAAAACCGUGUAGACCCUUUGCAAAAAAUAAAAAAUAGUAUUUAAAAUUAUACCGUCGUAAUAUUUGGAAAAUAGGUGUUUUUUUUUUUAUAUUGUACACUUUAUAGAACAAAGGUAUAUAUUACAAAACACGUUUUCAAACAAGAGAUGAUUUCAUAAUAAAAAUUAAAUUAAAAACUCGACAACACUAUGUAUUAUUGCCUACCUAUUAUUUGUUUAAACCGUGUACAUUUACCGUAAUGCGCUGCGAUUAUUAUUAGGGGGCUAAUAUUAAUAAUAAAACAAAAUUAAAAAAACCGCGAUACGCAUUUAAAACGUUACGUUUCAGAAAUAUUAUUCCGAGAGUCUCUGAGUAGGUAUAAAACAUUUUAAUGCGCGUACAUAAUGUGUUAUUAGUAGCAUUACCUGCUACCCCAAUAAUGGAACGAGAACGUACGUAAUAUUAUUAUUAUUAUUCGCGGGACAUCGGCGUGACCAUAACCGAUUACUUAAUAAAAGAAGAAAGAAAGAAAAAAAAAAAAAAUUAGUUAUAAUAAUAAUUACGGUAAUAAAAAUGAAAUAUGGACGUAAUGAAUUCACACCGAGACCGAUUGAGUCGGGGAAAUAAUAUCGUGUGUAUAUAAUAACGAACGCGAUCGUUUCGAAAAUCGGGGUGAAUAAAUGAUUUAUACGGUACCUAUUCGUAUAAUACGCGUAUACGUGUACUACGUACGAGGCACUGUGGCGAUACCUGUAUUACGUAUACGUGUAUUGUGUUUCGAAAAAAAAAAAAAAAUAUUAUACGCAUAUAGAUAUUUUUUAUUUUUUUUUUUUUUUUUUCAAGCAAAUUGACCGCGUACAAAAUUAUUCGGAAAUAAUCGUAUAAUAUUAUCGUAUUACACGCGAAUACCGUAAAAACCGACUGGGUUUUUUUAUUUUUUUUUUUUUUUUUAACAAUAAUAUCGUAUAAAGCGCCGCAUGAACGCUGCGAUUAUUUCGAUGUGCGUUUUGCAGUAUCGGAUUUGGAUCGCGCUUAAAUUAUCGAAAAAAAAAAACCGUGGGACAUUUCGUCGCACACGAACAGAUACAAUUAACAUAUUCGGUAUUCUAUCGAAAUACGUCCUCGAUAAAAACGCGGGAUAACAAAUUCGUUAUUUUGUUCGUUUACGUCGUGUGUAUGGUGUGUGUACAAUGAACUCAAAAACACCCAAUACGAAAACGACCGAUUGGUAGGCGGCGCUUAAAUCCGGAAAAUCGUGACGUUAGGAGUGAUGUAAAUGACCGCGGACCAAUAGAAAUUAACAGUCCGGGAAGAUUUUGUCGGUUUACUGGGUGGUAUUAAAGGCUGGAAAUCAAAAAAAAAUAACAAAACAAAACAAACUAAAUGUAAAACGGACUAAUUUAAUAUUUGAAAUAUGAUAUGAUAAUACACUAUAAUACUUUUCCAUAGACUAGCCAGAAAAAAAACAGUUGCCGAAAGGUAUUCGAUUUCCUACAGGGACCCAGAUUUUCAAUAAAAUGCCAUAUGAUUAGAAAGACAUGCCGGUAAUGUUAUUCAAAAAUAAUAUUUCUCUUUGAUUCUAAUAUACGAAUAUAAUGCGCCUAAACAUAAAAUAUUUACCGUGUUCUAAUUAUCAGUAGUUAUAAUUAAUCUUGGGUAAUAUUUCAAUUGGCUGUCUAUAUUUAUAUGUAUUGUAGUAUUAUUUAUGUUAUGCCAUGUUUAUUAUGUUAUAAGAAUAUGUGUAAUGUUUUAUAAUGGAUGACCCUGGGCUUCCACACGUCUCUUUGGUAUUGAAAAUAAACAAAUAAUAUGAUACGAUUCUCUACUUUUUUUUUUUUUUUUUGUAUAUUUUAGAAAAAAUCAUUGAAAUCGGAUUUUUUUCAGUAGUAAGACAAAAUUUUCUUUGUCUCCAUAUUUGUUUAAUUUGUUUAUUUAAUGUGCAAUUAAUGAAAUGAACUCUGUAAGCAUAUCGAUAAAUGGAUACCAUUCACUUUGCAGAUGAUACAUAUAUUCUAACAGAAUUCGGAGAAGAAAUAAAUUUGUUGCUUAAAUUUAACACGGAAUUGAUAAAUUGAAUGCAAACAUAACAGAUAUCAACAAUAAACGGAUUCAACAAGUAAACGAAUUUUGCUAUUUACGAUGCCUGACAACAAACGACAAUAAAUCUACAAAAGAAAUAAGAAAACAAAUUGCAGUAGGGAAACAAGUUUUUGAGAAAACACUUAUUAGGUAUCAAUCGGCAUUUGGGUAUAACUUUAAGUAUAUUUGAAGAAUUCUAUUAUAUGGUUGUAAAACGUAAACGUAAUGUUAGGUACACGAGAAAUAUAGACGGGAGGCGAUGGUGAUGUGGCUAUUGAGGAGAAUUACAGAAACAAACUGAACAUACGACAAAUGAAACAAACAGUGCUGGACGAAGUUAAUGAUAGAAGAACAAUGAUGAAAAAAAAAUACAUUGAUGAAAAGAAAAAUGAAGCAAAUCGGUCAUCUGCUAAGACACAAUCACAGUUCAUCACCAAUAUCAUCGAAGGAAAAUAUGAACGAUAAAAGAACUCGAGACAGAUCACGUAAAUAUUUUUCCGAAGAAAUCUUCCAACGAAUAGAUUUUGUAUCUCAUACCUUCAAUUCAACGGCUCUUUUUCAAAAAAAAAAAAUAAUAAAAAUCAAUCAAAUUAAACAAAAACAAAGUUGAUUCCCGAAUAGACAAUUGUAAAUCAAUUCCAAUUAAUAAAAACUAAUAAUUAGAACUGAAAAACUGUAUAAUAAUCGUGCAUGAGGUUAAUUGACACGUAUUCAAAUAGUAAUUUGUAAUUGCAUUGAUGCGCGCAUUCCUAUAAUAACGUCGUAAAUGUGUCUAAUAAUUGUGAAGUAUGUCAAUUAUUACGGCACCAUUCAAUUGAUUAAAUAUUCUAUAAGUAUAUAGUGUUAUAAUAUUAUCGCAGGUAUAAUUUAUGCAUAACGCCACUUUCGUUUUAAUGCGGUGUGCAUACUGCAUAUAUAGUGCAUACAUAAUAAUAUAGGUACCUCCCCACAAAGUAAAAUUACAUUUUCAAAAUAUCUUUCGGAAAACGUAAAAUAUUUUCAUAUGAUUUUCUUUUCAUCUUCGUACGUUUUAAAAAUAUUUUUACACACUUUUUGUCGCAAAAAAAAAAAAAUCAUUGAAAUGUUUCUUAAUCACUUCAAAAAUAGUUUCUAUUAUAUUUUGAAAACAUUUGUUGAGAGAGAAGGGCCGGUUUUUGAAAAAAAAAAAAAUAGGAAAAUACACAAAAAUAGAUAAAAAGAAACGUUUGAUAUAAUAAUUUUAAUAGUUGAGGGGAGGAGAAAUUCAAAAAAAAUUUGCGAAAACCCGGCGAACGACAGCCGGGUUUCGAAUCGGGUACCCUAUUGAUCAAACCUAACGUAAAGGUACAUGUAAUAAUUUUAAAAGGUUUUAACAUGAUGUCAUUACAGAUAAUAAAUUUUAAAAAAUGGUUAUUUUUAAAAUUCCGUAUGACGUUUGAAAAAUAUUUUUUAACUAAUAGAAUUAUCAUCCAAAUGCUAUGUGGGUACUAUAAUAUAUAAACUAUUGGUAUACAGAUAUACCGGCGCAUUCGAAGUUUUUGUUUUGAAUUUAAUUUAAGGUUUGAAAUUUUCGAAAACCGAUUAUGCGUAGCGCUAGUAAAUAGUGUUUAAUUUCGAAUAGCGCGGACGUAAAAUAUAAUAUUUUCAACGAUUUCCGCGGUACAAAAUAUAAUAAUCAAUCAAAUUCGCCGCAGUGUACAUAUUAUAAUUUCAGUGAAUAUAAACGAUAAUUAUUUUUAAGCCUCGUCACCGCCGUACUAUACUCCAAACGUUUUUUUUUUUUUUUUUUUUUUUAAGUACAAACGGGCGCGGAAAAUUAACCGGCUUCGCAUUCGAUACCUUUUGUGUUCCGAUUUCCAGAAAACGUACUCCGCAGCGAGACGUCAUAAUAAAACGAAAAAUAUGGGCUGUCGUUUAAAACAUGGGCGAACUCACAGAGGUGUGGGGUCGAGGAGUUUAACCCCUCACCCUAUUAGCCGGUUUUUUUUUCGCAAUCGAUACGUUUAAAAUUUGUAAAGGAUGUGAAAAUCCAUUGUCGCAUCGUAUAGUUUAUACAUUUACAAUUACGAUACAAAUAAAUUUGUUAUACCGCAAAAUUAUCGAAAAAAUAAGAAGCGCGUUAAAUUUCGUAUUGUUAUUUUUUUUUUUUUUUUUUUUUUUUUUUUUAUAUAUUACAAUAUAAAUCGUAAUGUGUUCUCUUAGGGCCCGGUGCACACGUGCGGUUUACGCCGAACGCACGCGCGCGCGUUAUUCUUUCGGUAACCGCGCGUCUAACGGGCGACGUUCUCCGUGAAAUAUCAUUUCAGUUGGCGUUCAGACACCGGCUGUGGAUGUUCAUUCCGAAAACAAACGCGCGACUACUUGCGCACUCUGUGUACGAGAGAAAAAACGAAAAUCUAACGACGCGUAACAGGCGUUUACUGGGUACACACGUUUGAAAAACGCCCGACAAAUGCGCAUCGCCAAGCGGGUGGUUUUCGUCCGCGGAUGUUCCGUUAGACGCCGUUUAUGACGUUUUACUCAGCCGAUAAACGGCGGCCGGGUGUCAAUCGUUUUCGAUUUCAGACGUUUCGCGGGCGAAAAGUCGGACGCGUGCACGAGCCGAUAAACGACUGUGCACCCGGUAUUUGCGGGUGCGGUGUCGUCGCUGUUCGCGGCGGACAGUUGACGGACGCGAGGCGGACGGCGCGUCGUGCGCUACGUUCGGCGCGUUUACCGACGUCGAAAGGCGCGCGCGCGCCGGGCCCCGGCAUUCCGGUUUAAACACAUCCGUGGCGAUUUCGGUAUUCUGUCAGUCGAAUUGUCGUUGCGGCGCUUUUCGCGCUGGGUUUCGUUGUUGAAACCCGACUACGUUUUGCUCGUGUAUCACAAUCGAUACACAGACUUUCCGGGAAAUCCCGCACGCGCCCGUUUCACGUGUUGUAAUCGGAAUCGUCGAACUGUCUUUGACCUCUGUAGCGCGUUGAAGUAACUGAUAUCAAUAUUAAACAUAUCGCGUUCCGCACUAUUGCAUACCGAGUUGAGUGAGCCCGGCGGUUCGUUUCACGGCGAAACGAAAACAUGAGCGUUUCGUCCGCGGUCGGCCGGCACCUUGAAAGUCCGUACCGUAAAACACCGGUUAAAGACCGCAACUUUUUAAAAUCCACAAGAAGGGUUCCCCUUAAUUUUUUUUUUUUUUUUUAAGAACCGAAACCGUUAGACCGUAAUGGUUCCAGUCCCUGGACUACGCAAGUUCUGUGUCGGAAAAAUUAUAUUUCAAUGUAGACGCAUUAUUUUACACAAUAAUACGAGAUGGUUCCGUUCAUGAUUGUUACCGUUAGAAGAUAAUAUUCAUGUUGCACGUAGCUGAUAGCAAACUCAAAUUUCCCGUGAAAAUCAAUAAAGCAUACGAUUACCUGAGUAAAGUAAUGUAGAGCGACGCAAUACCAUACGAUUAGGUUAGGUUAGGUUAGGAUCCGUCGAUCUAUAAUACACAUUCCCUUUUUUAAAUACUCACACACGUGGUUGCGAAACCUAGCACUUAGAGGGGAUAGAAAAUAAAAUAAAACAAAAUACGGGGGGGGUGUAAGCAUAAUGAAACGGACACACAAAUCUGGCUGGUUGAUUUCCAUAAGUAUAUCGGAAGGGUUUACUAUACGAACGAGAAAAUAUUUUAUACAAACACAUUCGUACGGAGAAACCUUAAAAACUAAUUAACUAACUAACGGGGUAUCGGUCAAUUAAUAAAUUGCAUGCAUAUUACUUACCAUCAUUUUCCCGAAGAUGACCGGAUCGGGACACACUUCGUUGAUUCGCUCGACGCACCACAUCAUGCAAUCGUGCCAAGGUACACGACCUUUUCUUGGCGGCAAAAAUUGGUGAAUCCGUGUAACGCGCGGGAGUAUUUUAUUACGAGAACUGUGUCUAAAAACCGUCCGGUGACGGAAAUCCCGAGACGAGGUGUACACACGAAGAAGGAAACGGACGAACAAACGAACGAAAUCUGGGUAGCGGAGCGCGGUGACGUUCGUGGCGCACACGUCGCCGCGGGCCGACGUUCUCGGCGAUAAGGGGAAACGUGAUUUGAUUGGCCGUCGACCCGUAGUCGAAAAUAUAACACUAUUGCGAACUGCAACAGAUCGCGAUCGCAUAGACCUUUGCGCGGGGAGGGAAGGGGGGAAUUAUUGUUCACGAUGACGUAACAUGUCCGCCGACGCGGGCGUAAUCCAUUAACCGGUCGACCAUAUCGACGGUAUGUGUGCUUGUCCAUUAAAAACGGGAAACGGUCGUUUUUGGACGUUACACCGCCCGUGGUACGUGCAAAUGCCGUACAGGUUUUGGAGAGAUGUAGGAGAGAGUGGCGAUUCGGCCGAAAAGAUGUACGCGUCUCGCGUCUUGUGUGAUCGCCGCGCGGGGUGCCGACGCGCGCGAUUCGUCGUGAAAUAAUUUAUGGCGCACUUGUGUGGCGACACUGGUAUUUGCGGUGACGGCAAUGUCCGUUCCUGACCACGUCACAUCGCUCGUUUAUUUCGCAGAUAAUUCGGUGUUAAACGCACUACACGAGUAUCGUGUGGAAAAUAUCCAAACACGUCCCGUAGGCGUGUUAAACGCGUUAAAUAUUGAUAUUUUGUUCCGCGGUUCCCGGUUAACGCGCGGGUGUUAUUUCGGUUUCGGUUUCGUUUAUUUUUAGUCGCCUCCGCGGAAACGCCGAGUGCGCGGUGCAGUUGUUCCGUACGCACGGACGAAAAACGCGCAAACGCCCGAAACGAUUUUUACACGCGGCGUAAACCGCGCGACCGCCGCGGCUGUACACGACGAAACAAUUAUAAUAACAACAAAUAAUAUUCAAGGUGCGCACGGAACGGAACGCAUAGCGGCGCGGCCGUAAAUCAAUUUCGCGGUGUCGUUUGUAGCGCAAUAAUAAUAAUAAACCGACGCUAUAACACUGGUCUCGCACAAGUAACACGGCCGAAAACGACCGCGAACUAUACGCCGUAAUAAUGUCCGUAACCCAAAUGUUUCGCUCGCGACGGGGUGGGUGGGCGCGUAAGUUGCCGGUGAGUACACCGGUGAAGCGAGAAGAAGAAGAAAAAAAUUAAUUAAUUUCGCCGCGUACAACAACGCCGUGGUCCGACCGCGGACUUCUUGUACACGCGCGCGCAAACGACUUUUUUCGGCGGCGGCGGCGGCAGAGAAACCUAAACCGAUUCUGCGCGGGGGAAAUCGCUCGGUUUUUGUCGCACAGCGACCGGAUAGACGCGAUGACAACAACAACAGAUUAUUAUUAUCAUCGUUGGCGUUGUUGUUGUCGCGUUAUUGCAGUCGCCCGCGACACAGCGUGACGGGCUCGUGCGCGCGCCGCCGCGUCUAUUAAAACCGCUUUUGCGGCGCGCCCGCGGUAAAUCACACGGGGAGCGAAAUAAAUCGUUCCGGACCGCGUUGAUUGCGAUUUUAUGGUCAAGUUUUAAACCUCGGAUUACCUCUUAUAUCGGCGCAGGUACCCGCCGCGGCGGCCGCGUACGCAGAACGAGUAACGACCGUAGACCGUUACCGCCGUCGCUCCCAGACGCUCCGUAAUGAUACCAUACCUAUCCCACGUACCCGCGCCCGCCACGGCCGCCGUCUCCGCAACGUCAUACGGCCGGGUCUUAAAUUUCACCUGCGCUAAUCUCCGGCCCGCGACGCCACUACAUUACGACCGUGGUAAUGCGCGCAUUAUGCUCGAGUACCUGUGCACCGCGUUCAAUCGUAAUCUACCGCGUUCUAUAAUACAAUGCCGCGUGAUAUUUCGGAUCCGUAAGAACCCGACGUGACGGUAGCGGAUGGGAGGGGGGGGAGGCGGUGUGUGUGUGCGUGUGGAUGAGAAAACGUUUCCGGAAAGACAACAGCCACGGGUCAAGUAGAUGCACCAUACGCAGGCGUUACGGGCGAAUAUGUGUACGGUAUUUUUCGAAAAUCUCGCGGGGAUCGAUGGAGGUUUUCCGAAUUUCCAUUACGCUUUUAAUGACGACCUUGUUGUGAAACGUGGUCGACAACUAAUGGGUGCGAGACGGGGUCGCGACCCUUUGAAAUGCGGGUUCUUGGGAGAAUAUUAUUCAAAUGUCGGACCCAUAUUAUAUUUUUAUACGGAAACGGGGAACGGACGAUGCGGAUAUUGAACGAAUCUUCGACGGACCGAAAAUAUCCAAAAAUGUCUUGUCUCGGGAAUACCGGAAUACACGUUGUGAUAAGUAUAGUCUAAUGGAACGGGUAAUCCAAUUAAAACGUGCCGUUCCCGGAGAAAAUCCGCGAGAACGAUGGCCGUAUCGAGUAAAGAGUGAUUUUUAAACAGGUGAACGUAGCAACAAGAAUGCUGAAAGAUGCAGAAAACGGACGCUACUGGAGGAACUCUGUAGAAACGGUAAUUAAUGGCCUGUGAUCUUUGUAAGCUAGAAAAAAAUAAUGACGACCUUAAUAUUAUGACUUUUCCACCGUUCCGCUUGUCCGAUGCCCAUCACGGGAAAGAGGUAUAACCGAUAAGAUUCCUCGUUCCGGACCGAACGCGGCGGCGGUUUCCGUGUACUUUACGGGCGUACGUACGCACGUAAUGUCGUGUAUAUAUAUAUAUAUAUGUGAAAAAAAAAAACAAACACGGUACAAUGACGGUGGCAAUAUUAUAAUAAACCGUCAUUUUUUCCCUCGUUAAUAUCAUAAUAUUAUUAUUAUACGCGUACUAUACGAGCGGGGAGGAGGGGUGGGCAGAGGGGAAGGACCCGGCGGAUUAAAUUUAAUGGGCACGUCAUUUACGGCCUCGGAGGACAUAUUAUAUUAUUCGCGGAUAAUUUGCCCGGGCGUGCGGCGGCCGUGCGCGGGGUAGGCGCGGUGACAUCGAGUCGCACUUUGUCCCGUCGAGCGUGACCUUUUGCCCGUUUUUCCGCGCGUCCCGCCUGCCGACUGCGGAACCGGCGGCCGCGGCCGUAUUCCCGCGACGGUCGUUUUUCGGUCCGGCACCGCGGUUCGAUCACCGCCCGGGAGAAGGGAUUACGAACGCGCGGCGGAAUCGGCCGCGAACGUCGCACGGUUCCGUGUACACCACCGUCGUCACUACCGCGCGAUCGACGCGCAACAGACGCGCGUCCGACCCGACGUGCCGGUUUGAGAUAAAAAUACAGUGCACGGUGAACAAUGGCGAAUGUUCACGGGAGGGGGUGGAUGUGGGCGAUGGGACCUUCCCCACCGCCGCCCACCUUUUUCUUUUUUUCCAGACGAUGAGUUUUCACGUUUAACUGAUAUUUAUCGUGAGAUCUUCUUCUCCUUCGGAUUUCGGCCUUUUAAGACCAUUCUGUAAGACAAAUUCACCUCCAGUCCUCUCUAUCUUCCGCUAAUCCUUUCCAAUUCACCUCUGAGUCCUCUGUCACUACAUAAUUUUUCACUGAAAUUCUAUCAAAUUAAAGAAAAUGAUUAAAGCGGUAUAUAAUAAAAAAUAAAAUGUCUUACUUUCAUACGAGCAUCGCACGGCGAGCUCAUGAAAACAAUGCAAUGUGCAUUGGAAUCUCAACCUUAUCGAUGAUUGACGACAGACACCACAAUAUGUAUUCAAAAAUCAUAAUAUAAAGGGCGUCCGUGAAUUGGGCCACAUUAAACCUUUUUUUCAAAAAGGUAUACGGUAAUCGGGCCAUUAAAAUUUUACAUUUAUAACAAGUAGACCCGGUAAUUGAGCCACUUAAUUUAUUAUAUUUUAGAUUUGACAAAAGGCAAACACCACUGUUUUAAAGCAUAUCAUUAUUUUUUCCACGAUUAAAAAUUUUAAUUUCCUAUGUUCGUUAUAAGCGAUUUAUUUUGACGCAUUUUUGAAUACUGUGCAUAGCAAUCUGUACCACAAAUAAAUAAUAUAAAAUAAUGCCGGUUUCAAAACGCAUUAAAACCUAUUAAGAGAUUACGAAUUUAAAAAUUAUGGCUUGAUACGAGUUUUCUGACAUGACAGCUACUGCACCUGUGUUGUAGCACGACAGUAGAAACAAAAAAAUUCUGUAGUAACUCGGAUGAGAGGGUAGGUACUGACUGAAUCGCAAAAGACAAUAAUUCAUAUGAUGCGGUCCCGCGGUGUGAGUAGCUGCACUGUAGAAAUUGAUUAGGCCAGUUCGGACGCUAACUCGCACUGUGUAACCGGGCCUUUACAUAUGGUAUUUCUUUUUUUACUAGUUUGCUGUUAUUUUUUUUUAAACGCUAUUCUAUUGGACGAAAAAAUGAUGUUGUCCGUAAAUAUUAAUAAUACCUGUACUUACUUGACAAAAGCUAGGCUUAAUAAAAAGCAUCAGUCUUGUAAGUCUAUUUUAAAACCAUAAAAAAUACAUAUAGAAUUAUAUUUUAUUCGCUAAAAUGUCACGGUGUCCAAAAUUACUCAAAAACAAUUUAACGAUACCGCAAACACGUCAAUUGUGGAUCAAAUAUAUCAGCAGGACAUAAUAUGACCAAGUACAACAAAUACCAAAAUGCUAAUCAAGUUUUUUCAUGUUCCAUCUUAAAUCUUAAAACAAGCAGAGUUAAUUAAAUACGCCCAAUAAAUACUUUGGCCGUUAUCGACGUUAUCAAUUGAAAGAACCUUUACUUUAAGUUUAAAUUGUACGGUGUUGCAUUUAUUCACGGGUACAAACCCACAACGAUCUACACGUAAAAUUGAAGUAAAAAUAAAUUUAUCCUGCAGUUGUUUACACAAAUAAUUUUUAAAUUUUAUAUGAAUCGACGAAUGUUUCAAACUGCAAGGUAGAUUACUUUAAAAAAAAUUAAACUGUUUUCGUUAAAAACUUUCGCCCUGACGAGAAAAUUUCAAAGUUUACGAUUAGGUAUCUAAAAAAUUCACAGUUAUUUCUCUUCAAUAACACAAAAUUUGUUGUCUAUUGCCGUUACAUUAAUUAAUAAUAAGAUUUCGGUAGUUAAAUAUUUAACAUAUUUUGUAGUUUCCCACGCUGAAAUAUACAGACAUUAACACGAGAAUCAGAAAUAAAUUAUUUCCUGUUUAAUAUUUUUAAGUUAUUCUUUUUCUUUUGGCAAUUACUGGAACUGUAAGCUAUGAUUAUUAUAUUUUACAUUUUUUCAAGGCUAAAAUUAAAAAAAUGUUUUUCAAAAUCUAAUAUAGCCAUUUUAUACAAAUAUUUUGAAACAAAACUUUGCUGUUAAAAAUACCUAAUAAUGAUGAAACGUUAAUUUUCUAAAACUUUUUGUAGUUUAAAAGACUAUUAAAAUUGUUUUCAUCGGCACUACUAAUUAAUACCAAUCGAUUCACCAAGUUAUCCAUGAAUAAUAAUUUCGUUAAUGAUUUUUGUAAACCUCAAAAAAUUGUAGAAACUUAACAACUCAUCAUUACUAAUGAUGAACACCGAAAUUUAAUUUUAAAACAUAUUUAUAUAACUGAUUUCUUGGAUAUUUUAAAAAAAAUAUUAGAUUUUGAGUAGAACGGGGAAUGUAUUGAUUUUACAACGAUGGUUAUUUAUUAUUUUCUUCUGUGGACAACUUCUACCAGCAAUUUUACUUCGAUUUAUAAUGAUAGCACUUUUCUAAAAUGAAAUCUGACUGGAGAGGUACUUUAAGGAGGUAAUUUUUUGUUUUUGCCAGGAGUUUUCCUAAUAAAUGGAAAAAAUUUGGAAAAUAGGUGUUGUACAAUAUUAAACAAAUAUUAUUAAAGAAACCGUUUAAUGCAUAUGUAAUUGUUUUAUCGUAAUAUUACAUGUAUGAAUAUCGUUCGCAAAGCAACUAUCAACUGAACUUCGCUCGUUUUUUCGUUAGCAGCGAUUCAUCGUUGUUGCUUACGGAUAUACAUCUACUAUACCUUCCAAAUGUAUCACCUAUAACAGUGGCUAUAACCCGUCCCCGUAAUCCUAGGACACCUUAUUUAUUUUUAUUCUUUGUAAAAAUAUAAAUCAAAGGAACCAUAGGGCAAGUCUCUAGAAAUGAUUACAAGAAAAAAACUUAAAAACACCUAACAGAACAAAAAUUGUUUCAGAGCGUUACGCCCUGUAUAUUAUAUAAACACCCACUUUGCACUUUGGCUGCAAUAUUAUACGCUGUAUCGUCGAUUUAUGGCACACAUGCUAGUCCCCGAGAUGCACUUGCACUCGGUGUAGGCGCACCAGAACCGCAACAAUAGAUAUUAACUAUAUGAUAUAGUUUGAGUAGUGUUUUUACUCGAAUAUAUUAUCGUGCCUCUGUAAGCGGAAUACGCGUUACGGGCGUUAAAUUUCACUAUAGGCGACUUGAGUGUCCAAUAAAAAAAAUGAUGACACAAUAACGAUAAUUAUUGAUUUUUAUUAAUUAUUCAUCACGGUUGAAUAAUAAUUAAUAAAUAGUUAGGUACAUCACAGGAAAGCGAUUGUUUUUGUUUGUGUUUACUGAAGUGUUUGAAUGAACGUUUAUAUUGUUAUUGAAACGAUAAUGAAUCAAAGUUAACAAAAAAAAAAAACCAAAACAAAACAAAAUUGCUAAUCAUUUAUGAUGUAUACUGGGGUAAUUUCAUGCCGAUACAUAAUAAUAUUAUACAGUAGAAUGAAUUUUAAAUAUUUCAUAAUAUAGAAAUCGAUAAAGUAAUUAUUCAAGUACAGGUGGGUAGCUAUCAUAAAAUUGUUAUUGAAAUCACGAAAUAUUUUAAACUUUACUACUAAACAAUGAUUAUUAAUAUUAUCCAGUCGUAAUACUAUUAUACCCUACCCGGUAAUUAAAUUAUUUGUUCGUUUUUUUUUUUUUAAAGAAAAUAUUUUAACGUAAUAGUGAAAUUGAGUACGUAGUUUCAUAAUCAAAUAAGUUUUCUUGUUAAUUCAAAUGUAUAUUACUAUUACAAUUCGGAUUGUAUAGACUACGCACUACACUGUACUAGUAUUAUACGAGUUAUCGUUCGCGAUCGAAUAUCCGAGUAGUUAGGUAUUUUACAAAAACGCACAUUAAACGACAUGCGGUAUGAAAUAUUGUUUGUUUUCAAUAAUACAGCAGAAAACACAACAUCGUCUACGCGUACACAAAUCCUGCGUAAACGACUGCCGACGACAACGAACUAACGGAAACCACGCAUGCGAUAAUAUUAAAAUGGCUCCGAUUCACGAACGGUUUAUCGUAACAAUAUUUAUUUUAGCAAGUAUCCAAUGCACCCGUGUUUAGUAACAUUCUCAGAAUUUACCAAUCAAUCAUACUUAUACGUACUGUAGCCUAAACGUCUAUAGGUAACGUAGGUAAUAAAGUAAUAGCCAAUCCUAAGUUUGAUUGAUUUUGAUUAUUUUGUUUUAUAUUGGAAUAAACUGUUGAGUAUCAAUACGAUACCCGAGGAAAACAUUGGAGAGACCAGCAUUAUCUGUAAUGACAUCACGUUGAACGGCAUUAUUCGGAAAGGGAAAGUAUGGGCAAAUUUUAAUUUUAAAUUCCGAGUGGAGCGAAAAAGUUUAUAGUUUUACAAAGGUGUUUAAUUUUUUUUUAUCUGUGGGCAAUUUUUCCACCGGCACAUUUUGCUCAAAAUUUUAAUAAUAGCGAUUUUUAAAAUAUAUUAUGGCCUUUUUUUUCUGUGCACAAUUUUUCUACCAGCACUUUUGCUCCAACUUUUAAUGAUAGCAAUGUUUCUGAAAGAAAAUUUCACUAGAAAGGUACUUUAAAGAGGUGAUUUUUUGAUUUUCCCAAGAGUGUGAAUAACUGGGAUAAAACGUAAGAAAACUGGGAAAAACGUAGGAAAACUAAGAAAAUCGGUACAACAUUAAACAAAUAUUAUUAAAGAAAAUAUACAAAACCUAUUUAAUUAUUUUACUAUAAAAUUACAUAUAUAUUGUUGAUAAAGCAUCAUUAUCAACUGAACUGCGCUCAGAAUCGUUAUUUCGUAAGCAAUGGUUUAUUGUUGCUUGCAGGUAUACAUUAAAUUAUCUAUAAAAUUGGCUGCAUCCGUCCUCAUUAUCCUAAUAAGUCUUUUUCAAACUAACUAUGCAAAAUCAAAAGUGCCAAAACAUUUUGCUCUUGAAGUUUUUUGUCGUUACAGAUUUUGCCUGUUGAGUUUUAAAAAUUAAAAUUGUCCAGAUUUUGCUUCGGUACAUUUUUCGGUAGUAGCAUAAAAAGGAGAGUUCUAAAUCAGGAGCAGGAGCAAGGACGAAGUGCUAUACCCAGUACACGGCCGCCCGAAUUGCGCACCACUUCACAGACCAUUUAGGUCACGCCCGAUUACACCUACUGUCAUCACGAAAUAUACCUAAUACACAUAUCGGUAUACCUACUGUUAUCGCAAGAUGAUGUUUCAAAUACAUAGCAAGUGUUUCGUAUACGAAAUAUAACUUCCCCGUCCGUGACACCACCAUCUGUUAUUAUAUUUCGACAAAAUAAUAUUGCUCGUACGCGAUUUGUUACCCGUACGGAAUAUAACGGUCGCCGCAACCCCCGUCGCCUCCUAGCUCCUGUAUAAUGCGAAAUUAUAAUCGUACACCUACACGAAAUAUAAUCGUUGGCGACAACGGACCCCCACACAUAGUGCGUGUCGUUCCGAGAAUCUAUUGCGAAAAUAAGUAUAUUUAUACGUGCACACAUUGUCAGCAGCGUACGCACAGUGUGUUUCUUGCGUGUAACGCAUUGUUCUCGGUUUUCCUGUCGGAUCAUGCAGAAAUUCUUUCACGAAUCUACAGUGCGCAUCGUGUUUCACACCCGUGGGUCCUGUACGAUCCUGUAAGUUUCUGUACGGUCCUGUAAGAUCCUGUACGAUUCUGUAUGAGUUGGUCUCUUAGCCCCCGCCCACACCUGUAAGGUCCUGUACGAUCCUGUAAGAUCCUGUACGAUUCUGUAUGAGUUGGUCUCUUAGCCCCCGCCCGUAUUCGCUUGUUUAUUAUCUCGUUAACGUACUUUUAGGUGGACGACUAAAUCAUUAUCCGCGCCGCAGCCGUAGAAGCGAGCCGUCGUUGUCCGGUGAUCACAGCAUUUGAAUUUUUUUUUUUUUACAAAGUGUUUAUCAAUUUUCUACGAGUGUUUAAAUAUGCCGUUUAAAAAGUACGAAUACGUCGCACCGGCACCACCAAGCGAGUCUUAUCGACUGCAAUAACCAUAUUCUUAGUUUCGCAGAACGUGAGUUUGCGAAUAUAGGUAUCGACCCGACAGAUACGUUCUCCGUUAAGGUACAAAUAAUAACUCCGUCACGUCCCGUCAACCAAACACCAGAUGUUCUGUUACAAAUAUUUUUGCUGAUGGACGAAAUCCUAUCAAACAUACUCGACACGCCCAAAUACAAGUUACAUAUAUUUCCGGAAACCGCGAUAUUCAAGUUGUCGCGUUGUGUGUACAAAAAUGAAAACGUACUCGUAAUAGAAUCAAAGACCGCUACCGGCUGCCGUAUCAUAUUAAAUAGACAGGAUUUAUUCGCGCUCCGAAAUUUGGAAUGGUGCAUUUUCGAGACGGUCGCACGGAAAACCUCCAUAAGUCAACCAUCAGUUUUAAAACAAUUUUAACAAACUGCACCGUAUACCAUAACAUAAACUAGUGCAUUCAAAUAUAAGUCGCGUAGUUAAUGCAAUUUCCAUAAUUUAAAAGAAUUCCUGUCGAGUAAUGUACACUUUAUAUGGUGUUGUCGAAUGUGUGCGAAUUUACGAUAGACACUAAAAUUGUUUCCAAAUGUCACCAAUGACCACACAUGUCUACCCGUCAAAUAGGGAGACCACAAGUGAAUUUUUAACCAGCUCCUUUUGAAUAAUUUAGAAGUUCUACUGGCUGAUAUAAAAUACGAAAUUGACGUGCCAGUCAAAUAAUUAUCACUGACAAUGCAAACAAAUUAAGGAAAUUACCGGAGACGAGCAUUCGGUCACCAGUCGUAUGAAUAAUUUAUGCGAUAAACAUUAUCAUUACUACUGGCUAAAGGCGAACACGCCAAGUGCAAAGGCAGAGGAAGUAGUGGAAAAAACAAAUACAAAUGGCCGAACAAAGACAUCGUACGCCAUUAUAAACAUAUGCGUUUUUUUUUUUUUUUAUUCUUUUUUUUUUAAGUGGACUGUUCAGAAAGAACCAUAAUAAUAUUAUCGAAGACAACAUUUGUUCAGAAUAAAUGGAUUUUUAACACACAAAUCGAUAUGUGUAUAACGGAUAUUAUAUCGAUAUGUUACUUUUGAAAGGGUUAACGUGUUUCGGAAGAAUAAUAUGAAAGUGGUGGUAAGUAAGUACUUAUGUAAGGGAAGUUGAUUAUCCAGAGCCGAACCGGAAAUUGAAGUAUUUGCCUGCCCAUGGCUCUACGAGUUCCAUAUUUCUAUUCGUAGUUAGCGUUGGUGUAUAAAAUUAAACAUACUGUGUAUCAGUGUAGUUUAAUAUUUUAUAACAUUUAUAAAAUUCAAUAUUAUUCAAAUUACAAAUAAUAAAAAUGUGGUUUCUUUAUAUAAAAAAAAAAUACAUACCAAGGUGUAUAACAUAGUAGUUUUACAUAAUUUAAACUCCAAUUUAUAAACUAAUUAAAUUUUAAUAAAUCGUUUACUCGUAUUUAUGGAAGUACGAUUUUGCUUCCUAAUAAAUAAUAGUAGUCUUUACUCUGUGAAUUACACUUAUUCAAUUUUGCAUAACAAUAGUAGUUAUUGAAUAUUUCCAAGAGUAAUAAUGGUAUACUUCUGAUAAAAAAAAAAAAAUUCUCUAUAUGUUUUCACAAAAAAAUAACGAGAUUUCCUUGGAAUAUUGUACACGACUGGUAUGUAUGUGUCUAAACAUACAAAUAAUAUUCUAUUAUUAAAAAUAGUACGAACUGCUGUUCGUAUAAAAUAAAUAAUUUUUCAAAUUGUAUAGAAAUAUAAUUUAUACUCACUAAAAUAACUGCUAAAGUAAGUACCGUUCACUAUUCAAUAAAUAAAAAAAUUAUAUUAAUCAUAACUAUUUGAAAAUAUUUAAUAAAUUAGCUGUAGCAAUUUUUAAGAACAGAAAAUGGUUUAUUUAAAAUCAUUUUUAUUUUCAAAUAAGUUAGAAACAAAAGACAGUGACGAAAUUCUGCAAUAGUGAUAUUUUUUUUAUGGAUGCGAUGAUCAAAAUCAUAUUUGAGAUAGGAUAUUUUAUUUUUAAAAGAAAGGAAACUUGUCAAAAAAAAAAUUUAAAAAAAGAGGUGAUAUUGAGAACGGUUGAGACUCUAUUGUGAAUAGGAAUUUGAGAAAGAUAGGAUACAUACAGUUAUUUAAUUUGUAUCAGUAAAACGAUUCAGAGCGAAGUUCGAUUAUACAUGUUUUGAAAGGCUGAAAUAUCUUAGAUUUUAUUACUUAAUAAUACAUAAGAAUAAUAUAGUAAAAUAUAAAAACGUUUAUUAAAAAAAAAAAAAUUAGAUUACAUUCAAUUUAUUUUUUCGGCCAAUAAGUAUAACUUAUAAUGAACUUCCUCUUAAAUUUUCAAGCAUUUUAAGUAAACCAAUUUGUACAGUAAACAGGUAAACAGGUACACACUGGUAUCCUACCAGUAGGUAGGACAAGUUUGACUGUCAGACCGUACUUAACGAUAUUAUAAAUCUUUGCAUGUAUUUUAUGCGAAAAAUCAUUUAUUAGUUAAUGAUAUUAAUUCAAAAUAUAAUAUCACGAAUAUUACAAUUUUAAAACCAACAAAUAGUUAAAAAUAAAUAAAAAAUACGCAAUCGCUUGGUAUUUUUAGAGGUUUUUAAAAUUAUUUUCUAAUGAAAUAUUAAUCUGAAAAAGCAUUGUUAUAUUACUCGUAUAUUUUUUAACCAAUGAAAACCUUUUCAUAAGAUUAUAAAGUAUUUUCCAAUUAACAGGCAUUGUUCGGAAGAAGCUUCCAAAGUUUUUACAAAUACUAAAAAUAAUAAGUUAACUUUAGCCUUUGAGAGAUUUUACAUAAUCGUCCAGAGAAUUAUUUGCUUCCUCUUUUUGAUUAAAUCAAGUGUAGAGAAAUUCUUAACAACUUUGUUCAUAACUACACGGAAUGAAAAAAAAAUAGUCUGUUAAAAUAAUAAGGAAAAAACUCAUUUAUCACACAAAGGACAAAAACAAAAGAAAUGCCCUAUAAGUUCGCCUUUGAUUACUAGAAUACUUUUAAAAAUCAAAACUUGUCUCAUCCCUACCCAUAUUGUGGUCGAGUGGGCUAUUGUCUUUUACAUUUCUUAUAUAAACCUGACUUAAAAUCUAGAACCGAGGAAAAUAUUUGAUGAUAGCAAACUUUUUAUUUUAAAAAUGCAUUAUUAGUGAGUAUUUCAUUUAUCUGCAAUUAAAUUUGUUCGCUAAAUUAUACUAAUUAUUUAUGCAGAAUUUUUAAAUCGCGAAAUAUAUAGUUAAAAUUCGCAUUUAUAAAAAUAUAAAAUUGUUGUUAUUAAAUUAUGAUUUAAAUUAUUUUAAUACUAUAGUCUCUUUUUAAGAUCAUAAUAAUAAAACAUGACUCGUAAUAUGGGUAGGUGGAACACUAAAUAUAAUUUUAGUUUAUUUGCUUAGGUACCUAUUUAGUUUCGUUUAACUUGUUGACACUUUAUCGAAUUUAACUUUGUAAAACUUUAUUGUUUACCGAUAUAUUUUAUAUUGUAUAUUUUAUAUUGUAUAUUUUAUAUUAUAAAAGAUUACAUUUUAACGUCCAACAGUUUCAACAACAAAGUUUUUUCAAUUCACUAGGUAUUUAUAUCGCUGUGAUGUGUUUAGGUAACGGAUCCGUCAAACUUUAUCGUUUGAAAAUCAUAUCAUAUAACCGUUAAAUUUAGAUAAUAUGUCAAUACAUGGAUUUUGAAAUGAAUACACAAUCAUUUUGGUAUAAUAUUUAAAAUCAUCCGGUUAGAGUGAGAAUAAUGAUAAUUUACCCACUACAGUUUUGCUGAAAAUUAUAAUAAUCUACAAACAAAAACAAAAAAAUAGAUGCAAACCAUCAGGUCAACAUUCAAACCCUAUAAUUCCUAGUCACUCUGAAAUUACUUUUCAAAUGUGCAAUUUAGGUUCUUUUUCAUUUUUGCAGAACUACAGAAUUACUAAAACCGACUCGGCUGCCUUUAAAAAUAAAUUCUUAUUGCGUAGUAUGCAUUCCAAAUAAUAUGAGGAUACGGAAUACGUAGAUACGAUUAUUUUUUCCAAAACGAAUUCCUUGAUUAAUUCUUAUCAAACUAGCGGACAAUAUCGUGCAAGGAUGAAACGAACGUUUUAUUUUAUAUUUUCGUUGUGAAAUAAAAAGAUUAAGCUCCCCUCCUCCGAAAAAAAAAAAGAAAGGAAAAGAUAAUAGUGUUGUAAAUUAUUUUUGCCGUUGAGCGUUCGUCGCCCUGUUAAUACGAUAUUAUACUUGAGCACAUUAUUGGCGUGUUUGCCAUACCUUUUAUCGGAGUACUACUUAUUCGGGUCUCCGUUAAAUUGCACUCAACCUUCGAAGUAACCACAGUAAUCCAUAUGUGCCAAAAAAGUUUUCAGUCACGUACGAGGAAUUUCGACAUCCGUUUCUAAAAGUGGUGGGUGCUUAAAACACAAAUAAAAAGCAUCGGCAUUAACUACGACAGGUGUACGUUUACCCAUAUCCGCUAAUGUAAUAAUGCAUACAAAUAAUAUAUAAUAAGUCUUACUUACCUAUACAUUCAACUAUCUCACAAUUAAAGCCUGGUCCACUAUAUAGUUUCUUACGUGAUAUUUGAGAAAUUCGCAAACGUAAUUGUUUCACUACCACGAACUACCGUCGUGUGAACAGAGCGACAGUAACUAUGAACUUUCGUGAAAGAACAAUCAAUUCCGCACAAAUAAGUUUAUAUUACGUUUCUUUUUUAAAUUUUAAAGGAAUUGUUUUUUUUUCUGUCUGAAAACAACUUAUCUACCAGAAAUCUUGUUCCAAAUAAAAUAAACUACAAGAGUGAUUUUUCUUUGUAAAAUUUUUGAACGAUUUUAUACAUUAGGGAAAUAAUUUCUUUGAUUUUCCUUGCAGUUUUCUAAAUUAUCUGGAAAAAACUUAUGGAAGCCGGAGUAAUGUUCCAUUUUUGUUAUAAUUCAGUUAAAAAUAUUCACGGAGACUUGACAAAUUAUACUAUUACGCAUUAGCUUUUUAUUGACUUGGUAAAUUAUUAAUAACAUAUACUGACAAAUUUUAUAUAAACUAAUUUUAUAUAAGGCAUUUGACAUUUGACAUUUUUAAAUUGUAUAGAUAAAAAUGUUAGAGCGGAGAGAAAUAUUUGACAAUUUAACACAAGAUUCAUCUCAUAGUUUGUACUCGGUGGUAAAAAAAAAUGUUUGUUAAUUUUUUCAAUUUUAAACUUUAACAAAAAUCGCAAAAAUCGCGGUAUUUCAAUACGUAUUUAACCGAACUUCGCUCAGAAUCGUAUUUCGUUGCACAAUCAUUUUUCGUUGAGAACAGAUAUAUAAAUAAAAGAACUCUCUCUGUAUUCUACUGUUUUUUUUUUUAUUUAUUUAUUUCAUAGAAAUAUUUAAAUUAGUUAUUGAAUGAUUAAAUACCACAGCGAAAGAUAAACAGAUAUAUUAUAAUAUAUAAUAUAUGAAUAUUCAUACGGUUAUUCUAUAUUUGAAUUUUGUGACAAAAACCCUUGUCCAAAUGUAAAUACAGCUCGCGGAGGAAAAUAUUGACAGACCAAAAUUAACCGUCAAACGGACGGACGUUUAUUUUCUAGGAAAGGUUUGAAUGAUAGCGCCCGGCUGCAGCGAGGGUUAGUUUAAAAUAAUAUAAUAUAUGACCAAUGGUCAAAAACUAUAUUUAAAAAAUGUCCACCGAACGUUGAUUGAUACGAUAAUAUUAACUGAUACGAUGAUAUAUUAUGGCAAAAACAUAAUAAUAUUAUAAACCGUACGCAUUACCCAUCCGUUUUAGAAUAAUCAUAAUAUUUAAUUAUUAUUGAUUCAUUCGAAUUUAGACGUAAAUUCGAUCAAAUAUUAUUUCGAUAACAGUGCGUAGCCAUGAACUCCAAAUAAUCCGUCCAAGAGGCAAAUGUUUUGGAUUCUGAGCGGAACGAGGACUGUAUUAGUUUUACAAUGAUGUUUUUUUUUCUGCGAACAACUUCCUUAUCAGAAAUGUCGCCCUGAUUUUUAAACGUAGCACUUUUUCUGAUAUUAAAUCUGACUGACAUAUGAGACUUUAAGCAGGUGUUUUUAUUGAUUUUACCAGGAGGUUUCUCAAUAAAUGGGAAAAAUCGUGAAUGACUUAGGAAAUACGGGAAAAUUUACGAUAAUACGUAUUAUUUUGAAAUCGUAAAUAUUUUGAAACAUGUAUAGCCGAACUCCGCUAAGAAUAUCGUUAGCAGUUAACAGUAAUUAAUCUUUGAGUUCAGAUACACAUUAAAUUACUCUCUAUCUUUCCAACUUCUCAUCUAUAACAGUGGCCCACCCAUCUUUCCAUAUUUCCAUCUUCCAAAGUACGAGGUCCGUUUGUCUCUUUUUUUUUUCAAUUUCAGAACGGUACAUUUUUUCGUAUAGGUAUUAAGCGAUUCUUUUCAGUCUUUCGGUUUCCUUAGUAUUUCGGUAUUCAGUAAAGUAUAUACAAUUUGUGUUUAACGGAAACGAUUUUAGGCUGUUAGUUUUAAUAAUAGUACACGGCGAAUCGUCCAAAUCACCAGCGAAUUUGUUGGUACGAACAUUAUCCGUGUGUUUGUAUAUCGAAUUUUUGUUCGCCAUAUUUCGAUUUGCUAAGCGAGUUAUUACGAGAAGGUAUACCAAAUAUCGCAAUUUAUUAAUGCACAGCUGUCUAUAAUUCGCCGAGGAAAAUUGAAAUAUCGAGAAAAAAUGAAAUGUAUACAAAAACAAAAUCUGAUAAUGUUCUUGCCUUUUGAUUAGUUCGAUAAAAAUAAUGACUAUUUAUACUAAUAUUAAAACUGACAGCAUGUUGCAACUGUCCCUGUUAAAAGUCUGCUGUAUCGUGCGUUUGUGUAAGACGAGGACUACGCACGCGGGGAUAUCAAAUUCGCUUUUUAAUUUCACAGCGUGUCAUUUAUCUGUAAUUACUAAUUACAUUACAUUUUCUACUCGUAUGUUCUACAAAAGUUUCGGGUAUAUAUGCAGAUUUUAUUCCAAUAGUCGAUACACAUGAUUUAACCAGGGCCGUAUUUAUGAUAUUUUGGCCCCUGGGCUAGCCUAUGGUGCGGUCGCUGCCAUGGGUAUAGGAAUAUAUUUAAUAUAUUGAUGACUGUUUGCCUGUUUUUUUUUUGCACCCCUCUUUCCAUCCAGGUGUAGCUCUAUAAUUAAAUUGUUUGAAUUAAAAAUAAUAAAUUAUUAAUAAAAGUAUUAAUGAUUCAUCAAAAUCAAUUCAUCAAUCAAAAAGGUAAGUAGUAAAAAAAUAUACAAAAAUCAGUAUUUUAUAAAUGUAUAUAUUAUAUAUAAUUUAAGUAACAACAAAUUAACUUUUGGAGUAAAUGUCCUAGUGGCCAAUUCGUUUCCGUCUAGAUUUGAUUGUAGUGAAGUUUUUUAUCAUGUUAUCACAUUUAAGGUGCCUUCAAAUAUUGUUUUCUAUACUCAUCAAAACUAAAAUAUUUAGCCUUUCAUCCGCCAUGAAAAUCAGAAGCCGAUUUUUAUCAAAAGUGUUUUUAAUUUUUGUAUAAAUUGAAAAAAAUUGUAAAAACUAUAAGCAUUUUUAUUAUUUCCUUUUAAUUUUUUUUAAAUCAAUGGUUUUUAAAUUUAAAGAAAACAAUUUAAAAAUUGUAGGUAACAUUUUUUCAAACCAAAUAGCUGAAAAUCAUUUUUAUAGAUAAAAAUGUUUUUCAUAUAAAUUUUUCUAAUUUCUGGGAUCUAAAAAAAAUUGCGCAGGGGUCCCCUCGAAAAGUGUUUUUAAUUUUUGUAUAAAUUGAAUGCUUGCGACAUAAUUAAGAAAUUAUGAUUUAUUAUUCCUAAUAUACUUACCACAUAGCUGCCAUUCAUUUAUUGGGACUGACUUUUACAGACAAUAUAUUCAGUCAUACGACGUGACUUAGCCAAUACUUUUGCAUUCUUCUUUUCUUUUUCUCUUGCAAUAUUUCAUUUGAUACUCCCACUUUUAAAUACCUCUUUCGUUUCAUGGCGAUUGCUUUGUAUUUUAUGGCGAUACGUGUUUUAAGAAAUCUAACAAUAACGUCACACUUUAACAAAUAUUUUAUUAUUCAAAGUCGAUGGUUACUUAUCAGUUGUCAUACUAGCAUUAAUUUUGUACAUAGUAUGACUUAUAUUCCUCACAACAGAAAUCUAUUUAUAACUUUUGAAUUUUGUGUACCAAUAAAAAUAAUAGCUGAUAUCCAUACUCUUCGUACCAAUGCGAGCAUUUGUACGACGGUGACGGCACACGAGGUUAUAUGACUCUUAAAAUUCUAGAUGUACCCACGUCCUACAUGUUUAAAAUUAAUUCUUUGUUGUACUUGAAAAUCCCCGGGCCAUGGCACAAAUCACUGUUUACCUACACCUAUAAUAUAUGUAAUAAUGUAUAGUGUAUACACCAUGUCAAUGAUCCGUUCUGAAUUUAUUUUAUACAUGGUAGUGACAGGAAAAUAACGAAAGUAUGUAAAAAAAUACGGGCUCGAUCGAAUGUUAUUUUAAGACACGAAUUUACACACUACCCGUGUAAAUAAAUAAUAAAUACGCAUACUCGCAUAAUGAAAUUUGCAUACGCGCCGACGAAGACGACGUUUCAUAAAUAUUUACUAAACAAAAUUAAAUAUCGGACUAUGGUCUUUGUUUAUUGUUUAAUGUUUUUUUUUUUUUUUUAUUAUUAUUAUUAUUUUCCAUAUUGGUUAUAUGCAUUAACGUUUUUCGUUAUAAUCGGCAAUUGGUAUUAGAAUUAUGACAAAAAUAUAUUGAUUUGUAUUAUUAAUAUUAUUGUUAUUAUUAUUUUUUUUUUUAUUUUUGUCAUUGAUAUUAAAAAUAUUACUUACCUCCGUCACCCCAAUUAAAGCUCUUGAAUCUCCAUCGCGAACGCCCUACACACCCUGUUAACGUUUGUUGAUCAUAGUUAUUGUGUUGCGUUCAUAGACUUAUAAUAUAUAGACUGCGCAUUACGACCGUUUUGUGUAUAAAACCUUGAAGCCAAUAUAUGUGCGAGAGAAACAGACUCUGACGUAAAUUUUUUAAGUAAUUAAUAAAAAACUUACACAAAAAUCUUUGAGAUAAUAAAUAUUUAUAUUACAAAAUAAGGAUAACGAAAUUGGUAAUGUACAAAAUAAUUACAAUUUUAAAUUGUAUUAUAUCUUGAUGAUAGCGUUAUCAGUAAUCAAUUAAAUAUGAAAUUGCUUAUAACCUCCUUGAAAAAGUAACACCAGAGUCUUUCCGUUUCGCACAUAUGUUGGCUUCAAUAUAUUUCACUAUUGCACGGUCUAUAUAUUAUAAGUCUAUGGUUAAGUUGGAAAAAAAACCAUACUAUUGUACAGGUAUGGUGUAAAACGUUUAUAUGUGAUUUUACGACGGUCAAUUGUUCCAGAUUAUUUUAUAACGGUGGUCGUUUUGCUGUUGUAUUUAAUCGACAUUAAAUAAUAUACUAUACUUAUUAUUAAUCCGUUUGCACAAUAUUUUUUUACUCAACUACAAACGAAUAACUUAAAAAAAAAACGACACAAGAUUCAAAUAAUAUUUACAAUGAGCUGACAAAAGCUCUAAGAGUUCUCGCUCCCAAAACAACACCGCGCCAUCUAUCCCUGUCUUACACUAACUACAGAUUCCUUAAGGUGUUCUUUGAAAAUGUCGAGCCACCAUUCCCUGGGUCUACCAUUAGGUCUCAUCUCCCGACGCUUUCAUUCCUCUUCUCAUUAUAUGGCCUGGCAAAUAGCCAUUAGUUUAGUUUUUUUUUCUUUUAUAAAACCGGUCACGGUUGCCAAGACCACUAUGUCAUACAGCUCUCUACAACAUAAUAUUAUCUUCUUCGCCAAUUAUUUAUGGCAAUGGCGUAACUAGGACCUUUCUUUAGGGGGAAGGGGUAGAUUUUAAUAUUUAUUCGGUUUCGCGAGUACCCAACGUGAAAAAUUUGUUUACAUCGGUUCGACAAUCCUAAAACUUCUCAUUGUACUGAGUUUAUAAAUCUACUUUUCUUAUUUUAAAAUACCCACGCUGUUAUUUUGUUCGCAUUCUUCAUUAGGAGUUUUGCUUAAAGUAUUACUAUAAUUUAUAAUGCAAACACCGUAAAUCGUAUAUUUUUACUGUUUAUAAAACAGACAUAUUUCAAGUUAAAUUUUUUGUUCAAUUAACGUUUAUUACUUUAAUAUGAUCAGCCAUCGUAAGUAAUAAUAAUUAUUUAUUAUUUUUUUUUAUCAAUAUUAAAUAUUCAAAAGAACGCAAUGUAACAUUUUUCCCGCGUAUUGUGGUAUCUUGCUCGUAUCCGCGUUUCAAACGUAAGGCAUAAAUAAUUUGCGUUCGCCGGGACGAUUUUACGAUGUUGGUUUUAAUAGUAUUCACCGGCGAACUUGACGGUACGAACAUUGUCCGAGCGUUUUUACAUACAUUUUUUAUUCUCGGUAUUUUAAUUGCUAAGCGAGAUAUUACAAGUAGGUAUAGUUGUAUGAAAUAUCGCAACUUAAAAUUGCACACCAAUAAUCAGUGUUGAAUCCAGGUAUAUGACAGGGAGAGCGAUAGCUUCCUGGAAUUUUUUUGCCCCCAACUGUUAAAUUAAUAAUUAAUUAAAUAAUUAAACAAAUUUGAUUGGUUUUAGUAAGAGGAGUAAAUAAGCAUGAAAAAAAAGGUUAUUACUAGAAUUUUAGCAACGCCCCUCCCCCCCCAGAAAAAUUGUAUUGAACACUGCCAAUAAUUCUAAUAACAAUUAAUAAUAAUAACAAUAAUUCUAAUAAUCUAAAAAUGAUUUUACUUUUGAUUAGUUCUAAUUUAAAAACUGAUAGUAUACAAUAAUUACAAUUAUCUCUGCUAUAAACGUCCGUUAUACCGUGCGUUGUAUAAGAUGAGGACUAAACACGCCGGUAUCAAAUCCGCUCUUAUAACUUUCUUUUAUUUCACAGUAAGUUAUUUAGCUGUAAUUACAUUACAUUGUCUAUACUCGUAUAUUCUACAUACGUUUUGUGUAAUCUGCGGAUUUUAUUCCAGUAGUCCAUAUACUAUACAGUAUAUACAUGAUGUAACAGGACUAUUUAACAAGUGUAACAAUUUGUUCUUCUAUUUAAUAUUUUAAAGGUUUUUUUUUUUUGAAAUAAUUACUAAAGACCUGCACUAUAAUUGUUUUAAUUUAUAUUUUAUUUUACUGAUUUACAACCAAAAGUCAACAAUUUAGAUUAUUUUAUAAUCCAUGAUAGCUAUAUUAUAUUAUAUUAAUUUUUAUUCUCGUUGUGUUCGUCCAUAUUGCUAUUUGGUUCGGUGCUCAUUCGAAUAUGUACAUAACGAACGAUUUGAAAACAGUAAAAAGAACGUCAUUAUCAUUAUUGUCUCUAGAGGGAACAAAGAGGUUUAGAUAUUUGACUUAACCGGGAAAAAACAUAGGAAAACCGAGAGGGCGGGAAAAUAGGAACAAUAUUAAACAAGUACUUUUAAAGAAAAUAUGAAAUACUUAUUUAAUUAUUUUACCAUAAUAUGGCAUAUUAUACACUGUUGAAAAAUCAUCACUAUCAAUCAGCGCUUGAAAACGUUAUAAUAAUGUUAUGAUUGUAACAUUUAUAACGUUAUACGGUAUAAAAAACGAUUGAAAUUUGGAAACGUAAUAAAACGGAAAACGAAAAAAAUAAAAUAUCACAAAACAUACCACAUAACGAAAUCAAAAAUCAAAAUCAAAAAUAUCAAAACAGAACGCAAAACGCAAAACGAAAUAAUAUAUUUUAAUACCAUUUUAUAUUUUAUAUUUGAAUAUUUCUACCUACUAGAUUUAUUUUUAUCAGUUAAUUUUAACUAUCUCUAAUAGCCGGAUGCAAUAAUAAUGUUGGUAGUUUUAUUUAAAGUAAUUUCUAAAAAAAUAUAGAAUUAUUUGGAAAAACCACACAUUUAAGUUUACGUAAAAUGGCUAAAAGCAGUUUGAUCUAUCAUUCGUCUUUGUUGUUCGAUUUUCGCUAUCCAGUGCACUUUGUGCAAACUCUGCAUGCUAAAAUUAAUAAUAAGUAUUCACUAUGCAGUAGGUAACUCUAAUAAUGUUACUAAUUAUUAAUAAUAAAUAAUAAUAUUUACUAGGUGAUUUGUGUUAAGAUCUUAAUUAUUGUCGUCGGG